UGGCCUGCGACAUCUCUUUUUUCUCUGUGGUUAUAUACACAAUAGCCAACUUGAAGGAGAGAGCAUUUACCGGAAUAAAAUGAUCCGAAAAUGAAACUAACAGUUGAUGCCACAUUGACCAUUAGCGGCAGCUUUUGUAGCUUCUGAGGUAAAGGGGUCGAUACGCACCCACAGCAAUGAGAAGAUGGAAGCAAGAAGUAUAGACCAGACGAUGACAAUUGUAGGGGUACGAUUUUGACGACCCACCAAACCUUUCAAGAAAGGAUACAAAUGAGCAAUCACCCAGAUGGCAAAGAAAAGCUUGCCAAAAAGAGGACCCCAGGAUUGGUAACCACUGUUUAUAGCAUAUGAUACGCCAGCCACAAUGCCCACCAGGUUGAUAAUAAGUACUGUGGUUGGAGGAAUGAGAAGUGAUGUCCAUUUGAAAACAUAAAGUUCGGCAAACUCGCCAUCAUCAUCAGACGCCUUUGAAGUGACAGUGAAGUUGGUAUCUAUUCCAGCAAGCACUUUCAGAAGACCUUGGAAAACAGCAAAGAGGUGAGCUGAUGUCCCACCAAUGACCCAGAAUUGUUCAUUUCUCCACCAGUCUUCGAUACUGACACCACUCCACCUAAGCUCAAGUAUUCCAGUGGCAAAAAUAGAGACGAAAAGAAGAAUAAACCACAUGCUAGCAAAGUUGCUUAUCUGCAAAAAGAUUGGAGGAAGAACAGACAUCAGUGUCAGAGGAAAUAGUUUUCAGAGGGCUGCAGGAGUAGAAAUCAGUUUCAAAGGAAAAAGGGAAGCUCUAGUAAUCACUUACCUCAGGAAUGAUAAAUUUUCCUGUCAGAAGGCAAAAGGCAGGAAGCAUACAAUAAGCAAGCAAAGGAAUAGAGGUAAGGGGGUAAACAAUGGUGUUAAUGUAUGCCAGUCUCUCCAGAAGCCUCAAUCUUCCUUUGUAACCAUACCAUAUGGGGCAAUGCCUACUCAGCAAAAUCUCAAUAGAACCCAAAGCCCAUCGAAGCACUUGAUUCAAACGAUCAGAAAGAUUGAUAGGAGCAGAUCCCUUAAAUGCUGGACGAGGAGGCAUGCAAUAGAUUGAUAUCCACCCACGAGCAUGCAUCUUAAAACCAGUCAAAAUAUCUUCUGUAACAGAACCAUAAAUCCACCCAAUCUAGUGACAUGAGGGGAAAAAAGGGUUAACGCAUAUAAAAAGGGAAACCAGGUAAGGGCACAACUAAAGGCCAUGAUACUUCACAACUGACCUCCUUGCCCCAUUCAGUCUUGUCCUCGUAUCCACAACUGAUAACAUGGAUUGCUUCUUUUAAAAGUGUUGCAGGAUUGGUUGAUGGUGGAAUGCCUCCUUGUUCCAUGAAGGUAGCAGCAAUAAAUACCGGGGACUGACCAAAUCGCUUCUCUAGUCUCUUCUGAGACAUGAGAAGAGAUCUUUCUUCCUCAUAUCCUGCAGAAAAUAAUAAAUGAAAUUGAGACCAGUCGGUGCAUGGGCAAUACUUUUAUACAAACCACAUGAUCUUGAAUAAUGUUGAUUCUGGAAAAAUAUGAUAUAAUGAAAAUUUUAUGACGGCCAUGCUGAAAAGGGAAGAACCCACACUGUUUCAUAUGCAAAUUAAAACGAUAGGAUCUAGUACCGGUGCAGAGAAAAUCAAAUCAAUUUGAGAUAAAAAUCAGAAAGUAAUAGAGUAGUUUUGACGAAAAGUCCACCUUCAACACCCUCCUCAAUGUCUUCCAUAUUGAAAAUAGGGAUGGUCGAUUCAGUUCUCUUAGCUGCCCUCUUCUUGUCAAUGUAUUUUUUAUUCCCACUCUUUCCCUUCUUUCUUGAACCACAACAACUCUUAACAAUAAUAUUUGGUUCCAAAUCCGCUUCUGUCAGAACUGGAUCAUACCCAUAUAGAGCUUGCCUGUUGAAACAGCAACCUGUUCCCACAUAGACUGGACCUUGGAUGCCAUCUAACCCUUUCAAGUUAAUCUGCAAAAUACAAGCCCAAAAUGAACUACCAUCCCCCAUUAACUAAUAAUUUGAAACAAGUUCUAUCCUGAAGCCAAAUUAACGGGUCAUACAUCAAAGAACACAAUAUUCCUAUUGGCAUAUCGAUCGUGCAUGUCAAUGCCAUCAAAACGUUGAGGGAACUGCACAUAGCACGUCUUCCUUCCAUAGGCAGGAUCCAUCAUGAAACACAUUGCUUCUUUAAGAGCUUUACUGUUAUUGAAGUAGUGAUCACAAUCGACAUUCAACAAAUAUGCCCCAUUGGUAAGAACAGCUGAAACUCGAAUCUGAGAAUCAAAAGAUGGCCAGGUUAGAAAUUGAAAUAGACAAUCAUCCUACAAAGUUGCAAGUGCAGAAGGUCUAAAAGGAUUUUCCAGACAAAAAAGGGGCCCAUAUGCCUACAUGACACAUUCCUUAGUAAAGAAUAUCCAGCAAAGGAACCAAGGCAGGAUUAUUGCAAAGGUAUGCAUCUGACUAUAAAUAUUAUGAUCUAAAACACUUUGGUUAGAUGCAGUCCCGGAAAAAGACCAGAGGACAUCUGUGACUGCUUAAGAGAUACAUAGUGAAAUUGGACAAGGGCAGAGAAUUGCAUACCAAAGCAUUCAUGGCUCCAGCUUUCUUGUGGUGUUGGAAGCCAGGUCGCUUCUCACGAGAAACAUAGAUAAGGCGAGGUAGCUCAUUUCCAUCAGUAUCAAGCCCCCCACUAUGACCUAGAAACACCUGUUGUUCCACAAAAUUACAUUAGAAAAUAGAAAGAACCAUGAUAGUAAAUAAUCACAGAACCAACUUUCCUGGAAUGCAACUCAGUUGAAGGAUAAUACCUGUAUCAUUCCUGGAUGAUCUCUUGGGUUGUUUCCAGGCCAUGGCGUUCCAUCCUGCAUUGUCCAACCUUCUUCAGGCAUUUUCUGAGCUUUGGCAACAAGGGCAUUGAUCCUCACCUUGAAUUCUUCAUAUUCUCUCUGUUGAAAGAAAUUUCACCUCUUUUAAUGUUAGAAAAUGUGACAUCUUUUUCCUGUUUUAAUAGGAAGUAGUGAGUGGAAGAAACAUUUCUUUAGAUUUUGUUUUCUUGUGUUCUAAAACUUUUCAUUGUACUUCGGUUGGAAUCCACUUAAGCCUUCUGCGGAGUUCUUUCUUCAGUUUUUUAUUUACUUAUUCUAACUGCAAAAAAAUAUACAAAGUAUUGACAGUUUCAAGCAAAGCUUACCAAGAAAUACCCCCAAAAAGGACAGGAAAUCAUUUUAAGGUCUAUUGCAACUUAAUAAAUAUCUUAAUAGGUCCAGGAAUCAAUGUUUAAGAAGGCACACAUAAGCAUAAUUAGGCAUCUCUACACUGACCUUCAUUGCACGACGCUCCUUGACAAAAGAAGGCUUUAUCUUGUCCUUUAGAUAAUCAAUCUUUUGAGCAAAAUAAAACUCAGGAGCUCUAGGCUCUAUACUGUGCUUCUUGCAGAAAGGCACCCACUUCCUUGCAAACUCAGCAGUUUCAGAGAGGGCUUCAAAAGUCAGCAUAGCUGAACCAUCAUCAGAAACAUAGCAAGCUACUUUGUCCACAGGGUAAUCCACUGCAAGGAUUGACAAGACAGUGUUCGCUGUGAUAAGCGGAGGCUCUUUGAGUGGAUCCACUGUACUGACGAAAACAUCUACAGGGGAUAGCUGUGAUGGUUCCCCAUCCCGGUCAUAUCUGGAAAACAGAGCCAACCGAUAUUAAUGUUAUGAUAACAGACAACAGCACCAAGAAUACACAUAGGCAGACAAAGGGAGCAAAGGAGUUUUUCAGCCACAUAUGAAACAAACCAUCAGCAAGGUAAUGGAACUGACCUCAAAGCUAGCCUGUCAAGGUAGGUCUCACGAUUAAUGGGAUACCAUUUUGGAAACUGAUCUAGAAGCCAAGAUAAAGCAAACCAAAUCUCACAGAUAACAGAAGUUAGCCACAAUGGAUAUGCAUCUUUCACUGGAUGUGUUACACGAUAUUGCAAGAAAAAGCCCAAAAUGAUGAGACGGAGAAUGAUGACAACACGAUAAGGGGUCAGGUGAGACGAAGAAAUAGGCACCACACGACUCAAAGGUUGACGAGCAUCAUCAGCCCUGUGGAACAAGAACCAUCAAACUUCAAAAUGAAAUGCAUAGAUGACAUCAACUGAGCAAAAAACCAUUCCAAUUACGACUACAAAGUCAAAAGGAAUGGACAUAACUUGCAUCUAGCGAUAGAAAUAUAAAAAAAGUGACAAUACUCCAAAUUAAAAUUUGACCAAAAAAAUAAGUAUGAAAAAACAAAAUUAAAGAUUGAAAAAUAAACUUAAUGUAAACUUAUAAGGUCAUUAAGAUAUAUAAAAACACUCAAUGGAACAUAGUAAACUAAUUUAAUUCUAUUUCAGACAAGAUAAGCUCACAUUUGCAAUUCCUCCCCAUUCGAACCAGUUCCUUCUAUAUCUCCCUUCCCUUCAGGGUAUCUAUUGUUCAUAUGCAUCACAUUUUUCUCCUGUUUGAGUUUCCAACUUUCAACCCUUUCCUUCCAAUCAACAUUCCCAAGGCCAUAAGAAUUCAAGUCCUUUGUUGGGUCCACAAUUCUCACCGGGACUACAAGAACAGAUGACAAUAUAAAUUGAGAUAAUAAACACUUCAAUAAGGGGAAAAAGAAAAAUCUCGUAAACAAACCCAAUGACUUAAUUACCUGGUUGCCUCGGGUCAACAUAAGGAGAAGAACUAACAUUCUUUUCAGAAGGACCCAAAGGACCCGAUGUCAUUCGCACGGAUCGAUUGUCUGGUGUAGCAAUUUCUCCAGAAACCUGAAAAUGUUGGCCUAUCAGUUAGAAAAUGACCAUUUAAGUAGCAGAAAUCAUAAAUCUCAUGGUAUUAAUCGCCAGGGAAUAUAUUAGCAAAGCUAGUCACUUCCGCAAAUACAAAAGACUUUUCUUAUGAUUUAACCAAACCAUGUUGGGCUAUACAUGAGAAUUAAAAUGCUGUUGAUAGCAAGAUUGCAAUGCUACAAAACCAAGCAAGAAUGAAAUGAUUUUUUCAAUUAAAUCUAAUUAGGAGAAACCAUAAUGUAUGACUGGAGUUUUCCAACAUUGAAACUGAAACUCAGGAAUUGAACAGCACAGCUUGAUCACCAAGUAGAUAGAUGAAAGGGUACUAAAAGAAGAAACAAAUAAUCGCAUCUUUGCAAACUCCAUAACAUGAAUAGGGACAGAAGCACAUAAAACGCCUACCGUAUGGCCAUUGGUUAGAAGAGGGAUUGGUUGUUGAGAUUCAUGUCUCGAGGAUGAAGAAAGAUCCACAUCUUCACCCUGCCAUUCCCUCCUAGCCUUACUGAGUCCUUGAGCAUAAUCAAACUCAUUCUCCAAGUCAUCAACAUCUUCCUCAUCGUCAUCUCCCUCCACUCUAGGACUCCCUGAAAUAUUCAGAAAUUACUUCACACAUGAUAUAAAGAUCUUAGAAGCCAAAUCAUAAAAUGAAAUUCCUAAAGAAACCAACAAACCUUUAUGCCUCUUGUAUCUAGUCUUGCACUGCGGACAACACUGAGUCCCAUCUUUCCGUUCAUACUCAUAACAAGGCCGGCAAACUGGGAAGGCACACUCAUUGCAAGCAACGAACACAUCACCGGCAGCACCAACUCCAACAUUAUCACCACAGAUCUGACAUGUCUGUCCAUUCAAAUUCUUUAGCGGUUUGGGCUGCAUUCAGAAAGGACAAUUAACGCUGUUAGGAAUCUUCUGAAAAUUUGCAGUUGAACCAAAUAAAACCAUCUGCUUAAAUAUAAAACCACAUAGCCACAUCAAAUCAUCGAAUGACCAGACUCUACAGAUGAGUGUCUAGAAUAAAAAUCAGAACCAAAUUUCAAGAUCUGAUUAUGUUCACUAACCAAUCAUUCAAUUCCUCAGUCAAUAAGCUUCAAAGUAAAGAAUUGAAUUUACUUUCACUCAAAUGACCGUUAGAUCUUAACAACUAUUAACUUUUUAAGUCCUUUUCUAUGAUAACAAAACUCAGAUCUUAACAGCACACUAUUAGAAUAAGUAAAAAAUGAUAAAAGAAAAAUCAAACUAAAAUAAUGAAAUAAGAAAUGACACAAACCCCACUGUCAGAAUCAUGGCGAAUCCGAACCAACUGGUUAGUCCGGUGAGAACCGGCCACCAUUCCAGCACUUGCUUCCAUUAUAUUGUUAUUACAGAUCAAAAGGGAAGGGUAUUAAACGAAAAAUAUAGAUAUUAAGAGAAGUGAGAAAAAGCUGUCGGCAAUUUCUCCCCUUCAACAAGCCGUCUCCAUCUUCCCUAUACUCAUUCCAGCUAUUGUGUGGGCUUAAUGGGUUGUCCUUUUUGUCACUUGUUUUUUUCUAAUUAUUUAGUAUUUUAUUAUUUUCUAUGAUGUAACAAUUUUUACCGGGUGAACCAGUUGCUAUCUCCCUCCCCCUACUACCUAACACUGCUCCGCUUUGACUUUUUAAUUAAAAACUUCUUUAUUACAUUUAAUUUCAAUGAUAAAUUACACUUAAGGUCACUAAAUUAUUAAUAAAUUUAUAUUUUAAUCAUUUAAUUUUAAAAAAUUACAAAAUAAUCUAUUAAAAUAUUUGAAUGUUUUCAUUUAAGUCACUAAACUAUUCAUAAAUUUUUAUUUAAGUCACUAAAUUGUUAAAGUUUUUUUUUAAAUCUGGAUAGCAAGCUCCAAAUAACAUAAAUCGAUGAUUGGUAUGACGAAUCUAUACUCAUCGGAAGUAGAAAAACAUACUUUAGAUUUAAAUCGAUCUAACAGUUAAUGUUGAAAAACAAAGAAGAAAGUUGGUUAGAUUUUUAUUCACAAAUUUAUGAUAUUUAAAGAUUUUCAUGAAAAUUUUUGAACUAUAGAAGAAAAAAGGGAAUGAGAACUUUUAAUUGGUGCAGGUGGUGUGAACAGAAAAUGCCAUACAAUAUCAGGUUAUAACAUCUCAAUGACUUAAAUGAAAACUUUCAAAUAGUUCAGUAACUAUUUUAUAAUUUUUUGAAAUUAUGUGACCAAACAUAAACUUAUUAAUAGUUUAAUGACUUUGGGUAUAGUUUACCUUAACCUCAAAUAUGUACAAAAUAUGAUAUUCAUAGAUGUUUUUAACCUACUAGUGUUGGAUAGUGAUAAGGCAUAUUGUAUUAUUGUGAAGAGAGUUUGGGUUCGAAUAUUGGAAACAACAUUGUUAAGAGGAGUAACUAUCAACUCCAAAAAAAAUUAAUUUUCAUAGACCAUAAAACAAGCAUAAUAACUUCAACUUGUAAAAAUUAAAACCUAAAUUAUAAACACUAAUUAUAAAAAAUCAAAAUUAAACUUGAACACUAAAUUGAAUAAAUUUAUGUUGUAAAAAGAGUAAACAUAAACAUGUAAAUCAUGUAAAAAAUUAUAGUAAGUAAUUUGUAGAAAUUAAAACAUAAAUUAGAGAUCAAUUUGAUAUAACUGAAAAAUGCAUAGGACAUAAAAAUAAAAUUAAUCUAAAUAGAUUAAAUUUUGAAUAAAUCAUAUAAUAAUUUUAAAAUUAGCCUAAAAGAAAAUUUUAGAAAGCUUCUUAAAAAGUGCGUUCCUUGGUUACCAAAAAAUGUGUAUUCCUAUAAUAUAAUAUGUAUGAUUUCAUAGGUAACAAUUUUACAUGUUGUAAUUUCUUUGUUUUAAAUUUUAUUUUUCUGAAUAAAAAAUAUUGUCUACAGUUAUUUUCUUAAUUUUAUUUGCAAAUCCAGUAGAUGAUUUAUUAUUAUUCGUGAACGAAUUAAAGAAUAGGAUAAUAGAUAUUCCUCUUUUAUCUUCCAAAAUUUUGUUGGUAACGCCUUAUCUUCCAAAUUUCAACCUUAUCUCCAAUUUACAAUUAUAGAGUUUAUCAUUUGUAAUUUAAAAUUUUCUGUUUAGUUAUCUUUUAUAUUAUUACAAACCCUAGUGUAAAACCAAAGAUAUAUGAGAUAAUUCAUCUAUAUUAAUUUACAUGUAGAACUAGCCGUUUAGCUUAGCCACACGGCUCUUAACCCCUUUUUACUAUUUGCUUAACAACCGGGUAAUAUUGUUACACGUGUUCAGCAGACACUUAACCACUUUCCUUCACGGAAAUGGACAACUUACACAUUAUACAACGUUUUUCCUUGCUGGCAAUAGCCUGUUCUUAAAAGUACCGGUUAUUGCCGGUACUCCGCAUCUGCUACUCCUUUGCCUGUCGGUGGACUCAAUACGGGAUUUCAACUAAUUCUGAAUUUACAAAUAUACCCUCUACGCGAGAAGUUUUUUUUUUAUUCUUUAAACUCACAGUGGAAUUAUUUUCAACUUUUUUCUAAUUUAAUAAAUUAUUUUUUUGAUUAAUUGAAUCAAUUAAAAUUUAAUUAUUAUUAUCAAUAAAUUAAAUUUUUGUUUUAUUUUUUUCAUAAACAAUUCUAACAAACCAUUAGAAUUUAAAAUAAUAAAAAGAAAAAUACAAGUCAAGACAGCCAAUGUUGGGGCUUUCACAAAAGAAAAUUAGUGAAAAUAGUAACUAGAAAUAUGCUAGUAAUAAAUAACUACGGUACUAUGUUUCAUCAUUUGAUAUGAGAUCUGAUGGUAUUUUUUCUUUCAAAACACCACACACAUAAAAGUAAAACACAAGUAUUUACUAUUUAACAACAAUCAUAACUGGUGCUCAUUGAAAAUUAUUACUAACAACAAAAAUACAUCAAUGAAAAGUAAGUUACAAAGAAUUUCCCAGUUUACUCUUAACAAAAAAUAAAAAAUAAAAAUUCCCAGUCUAAAUACCAUCCUCAAGAAGUCAAAAUUGCAAGAAUCAUACCUCUUUCAAUGAAACAGUAGCUCCAAAAUCUGUUCGUGCACAACGUAUCUUCAAGGGCAUAAGGAAACAGGAUGCAUGAACCAAUGAAAAUCUAAAGAUCACCAAAAGCUUGAACUUGAAUGAUCCGAUUAUUAUAGGUAUUCUCCCAGUUCUAUAGUUAGAAAACCAACCAAUUAUAGAACACAGGCAUGGAAUGUUAAACAUACUGUUAAUUGCAUUUAACAUGCCACAAUCGGAUGACAGCCCAAACUAUAUUAUUCAAUGAGCUGAAUAGUUAUUUCAUCACCAAUAGUCUCCACAAGAACAAAGACCAUCUUUAAAAUGAUGGAACCGAUUAGCAUCCCUAACCACGAUGACUCUCUCAGUGAUCUUGCAUAUAAAUUUAGUGGCAGUAUGACAAUCUACACAAACUCGUAGAUUCUUGAAAAUUCUAAUUUCAGUUCCAGGGUCUGUAGCAAUAAGACCAAAAGCAAUGGCUAAUUUCUCACUGUGAACAUUUAUCAUCAGUUCCUUCUCUUCCUCUUCUACAUCAUGCAAUGCGGUAUCAAUCUCAGUCUGAAACCCUGCUUCCUUCAUUUUCCUUAUUAAUUUUUCUAGCAUUGCAUAGAUUGCUGAUGCUUGAGGAUGGGACCGAUCACCAGAUGUAAAUACAUGUGGAGUUUCACCGAUCUCAAUUAGAGUGCAUCCAGGAGUCUUUGCCAACUUCCUUUUCUUAACAUCUUGCCGGACCGAAGCAGCCAGUCGAUAAUUCCUCUCAACUGAGUAUAAAUUUGACAGUAAAACAUAAUAUCCUACACUUUCAGGAUCCAAUUCAAAUAGCUUUUCGGAAGCCACACGAGCAAUCUUUUUAUCCUUGUGGAUCACACAAGCACCAAGCAAUGCACCCCAUUCAGCAGCCCCUGGUUCAACUGGCAUUUCCUUUAUAAACUUUAAGGCAUUUUCUAGUUGGCCAGCUCGGCCAAGGAUGUCAACCAUGCAGGCAUAAUGUUCUGGUAACGGCUUAUAGUGAUAAUCAUGGAUCAUAGACUGGAAUAUUUUUUCUCCUUCUUCCACCAAGCCAGCAUGACUGCAAGCAUAUAAGAGAGAAAGAAAUGUCACACCAUUUGGUGUAACCCCAGAAUGUGACAUCUCAGAGAAGAGCUUUAGUGCAUCCUGGCCCUGGCCAUGAAGACCAUAACCUGAAAUCAUUGCAUUCCAAGUCACCACAUUCUUCCCCACCAUCAAGUCAAACAAUUCUCGAGCCUCGCUAAUGCCACCACAUUUUGCAUACAUAUCAAUUAAAGCAGUUGAGACAUACAUGUUAGACUCAAAAUUCUUGUUUUUAACUAGGCUAUGUACCCAUUUCCCCAGACUAAGAGCUCCAAGCUGAGCACAAGCUGAAAGAAUACUUGUAACUGUGACAGGAUUGGGACUAACUUUGGAUCUCUGCAUUUCUUGAAAAAGAGAUAUUGCUGCUUCAGUCAAUCCAUUUUGGGUGUACCCUGAGAUCAUAGCAUUCCAAGAGGCUGGUGUUUUCUCUAAAGACUCAUCGAAAAGCAGCCGUGCAGAUUUAAUCUCAUUUAGUCUGCUAUAAACAGUAGUUAAUGCUGUUGAAACAGAAGGUUGUGAGAGGAUACCAGAUUUCACACAGAAACCAUGAAUACAGUCAGUGAGACUUAAAUAACCAAAAGGAUGAAAGACAGGAAUCAACCCCACAAUUGUGCUUGAAUUGACCUUUUCCCCGGAACCAAGGAGUUGUUUAAAGAGCCUUACUGAACACUUACUCUCACCAUUGCUAGUAUACCCCGAAAUCAUUGCAUUAUAAGAAACCAAAUCAGGUCUGCGUAUCUCUCCAAACAAUAACUUAGCUGCCUCAAUGUCCCCACAUUUUGAAUACAAUGAAAUAAAUCCGGUAAGCACAUGAACAUACGAAUGAAACCCCAAUUUUAUAGCUAAACACUGAACCUCCAUUCCCAAAGUCAAUUCUUGCAGCUCAGCCAAAGCCGGUAAAAUAGCUGCCACAGUGGUUGAAUCCAACGGAAUCCUACCAUCUUUAAGCGUACGCUCAAACACACAAACCGCAUCAUCAAAACAACAAUUUCUAACCAACCCAGAAAUCAUAGAAUUCCAUGACACCGUAUCUCUUACAGGCAUUUUAUCAAACAUCUUUCGCGCCAAGUCAAUCCGCCAAUUCUUUAAGUAAAAAUCAACAACGGCAGUGCCCACAAACAAAUCCGAUCCAUACCCAUCAACAACCGCAUGUUGAUGUAACAAAAUCCCCACUUUCUCAUCAGAAAGGGUUGAAGCAGAUGCGAUAGCGAAAGCGUAAGUGAAGUUAUCAGGCUUGAGAUGAGUGCAUUUCCUCAAAUGGGUGUAGAGCGAAAUGGAAUGGGCGUUAGAGAAGCCUUUAAUGAGGACAUUGAAAAGGAAGAGAUCGGGGUUAUGGAUGGAGAGGAAUAGGUGACGUGCGUAGGAGGUGGCCUUGAGGUCGAAGAGCCUGUGAGUGAGUUUAGUAAUGGUGGAGAUAUCAUUUUGGAAGUCAUUAAGGAUGAUCUGGGCGUGGGUUUGGGUGAGAUGAGAAAGGGUUGUGGAUUUCUUGAGUAGGUUGAGGAAAAAGUUUCGACUUCCUGUGGGGGAGUAAGUGCUUGUUAUUGCGGACUUCAUUAACAUCUGCUUUGCUAUGCAAACCAAUAGUCGAACUCUCUCUCGCUUUGAAUCAUACCAGAGGUAAAAUGGCGGGAAACAGAGAGCAAUGGCAAAUCCUGAUAAUUUUAUUGAAUCUGUUGAUUUUGUGAAUAAAAUUUCAUAAAAUUUCUAAUAUUUAAUAUUAAAAACGAUAGAUAAAAAGAUAACUAAUAAAAAAAUAAAAACAUAAUGGUGUUAACUAAAUUGAAAUUAACAUUAUUAUCAACGCAUGUGAAUUCGAGUGUGCUAAAAUGUAUUAUUCUCAUAAAUGUUAUAAAAUGUUCUAGUAUAGAUAUAAUUAGAACCUAUAGUUUUAACCAUUUGAAACUUUUUUUAAAUCAAAAUUAACUCUUGACCUUUUUAAAAAAAAAAUUGAAUUUUGCCAUUAAUAUUUUUAAAAUAGUCAUAAUAUAUUUUUAACAUAAAUAUUAAUUAAAACAUUAAAUUUUUAAAUACCUCAUCCAACAUGUCAAUUUGUGUGUAUUUUAUGUUUGUUUGUUUUUUAUUUUUUUGAUUUUUUUUAAUGUUUUAUAAUUUUACGAGGAGUGUUAGGUUAGUUGCCACGCCAAUAUCGUUAAAAAAAAUAAUGUAUUAGUUAACAUUUUUAUUUAAAAAAAACUAUUUGACUCUUUUUGAAAUGUUAAUAAUCAAAAUUAACACGACAAAAGAAUAAGGGCUAAGUUGACAAAAAAUAAUAUUGAGGGUUAAAUUUAUUAUUAUAUCAAAAAUAAAUUCAAUAGAAAAAUUGAAAAUUAUAUAAAUUGAUUAUAUGCAAUUUAACAACGGUGUUAUACAUUUAUGUUUAGAGUAUGAUACAAGAAUAUCUUUUAUUUGAGUAACCACACUUUUGAAUGGUAGCGGUUCUUGAGACUAUCUCUAAUGGUGGUGAUGGUCGGACAAUGAAAAAAAUUUGAGCCCGGUGAAUUGGAAUCAUCGGAUUUGCGAAACAUUAUUACAUGUUUUAUUUCUUUUAAUUCGCUCAUAUUUGUAUUGUUUCUAAACCAUUAAAUAUCAUCAUUUAAACUUUUUCUUGUAGAUUAAAAAAUACACAGUGAAUGACAUAACUGCAAAUCCAUUGAUUUGUUGUUUUAAGCAAUUUCCAUGGCUCAAGCAUCCCCCUACUCAUAAAUGGAAUUGGCAUUGGCCCGACCAAGCUAUUCUUUCAACACGGGGAUUACUUAAAUUUUCAAUGGAUUAAUGUUCCUCAACACCAAAGGAAAAUAGAAGAAAAUUGGAAUGCUGUAGAGAACAUAAAAAUUUAGCAGUUACACGGAGGUGAUCACAAAGUUGAGCUAUUUUCAAUUGAAUGACAAAACUUAUAGUUGGUAGAAUGAAUAUAUAACUACACAAAACUUUCACUCUAAUUUUAUUCUGUCUUGUGCAUCUCCAUUCUUGUUUGUUCAUACAUCACAUACCAUAAUCUAAAAGAACCACGCAAGAUGAUUUUUUUUCAACAGUUAAUGCCACACAUUGUAGUGUCUGGUCCUUUGGUUUUCAUCACAAAUGGAUCAAUUCGGACCCAAAGCAAGGAGAAGAUUGAAGCCAAUAGCACUGACCAUAUAACAACAAUGGUUGGUGUCCGGUUUUGUCUCCCCAUUAAACCUUUGAGGAAUGGAUAGAGAUGGACAAUCACCCAGAAAGAGAAGAAGAGCUUCCCAAAAAGAGGUCCCCAUGAUUGGUAUCCAUUGUUUAUGGCAUCCGAGAUGCCUGCAACGACACCGACUAAAUUGAUGAUUAAGACGGUAGUAGGAGGAAUUAGAAGGGUUGUCCAUUUGAAAGUAUACAAUUCCCCGAACUCCUCGUCAUCAGUUGCCUUGGAUGUGACAGUGAAAUUAGUGUCAAUACCAGCUAGAACUUUCAACAAGCCUUGGAUAACAGCGAACAAAUGUGCCGAAAUGCCACCGAUGACCCAAAAUUGCUCAUUCCUCCACCAUUCUUCAAUGCUUACUCCACUCCACCUUAGCUCGAGAAUACCAGUUGCAAAGAUUGAAAGAAACAAGGCAAUGAAGAAUAGACUUGCAAAGGUGCUUAUCUGUAUGAACAAGAAAAUAAGAACAUUAGCAGGUAAAACUAUUUAAACUUCAAAUCAUUAAAGAAGAGUUUGUUUAUUUACCGGUGGCAUGAUAAAUUUAUCGGUAAGUAAACAGAUUGCCGGUAGGGUACAAUAGGCGAGAAGUGGUAAAGAUGUGAAGGGGUAGAUCGUUGUGUUGACAUAUGCGAAUCGUUCAAGCCAUUUUAGCUUUCCUCCCUUGAAACCAUACCAUGCAGGGCAAUGAUGACUAAAGAAAAUUUCAACAGAACCGAGUGCCCAUCGAAGGACUUGGUUUAGACGAUCCGAUAGAUUGAUGGGAGCUGAACCCUUGAAUGCAGGCAACUUUGGCAUGCAGUAUAUUGAUCUCCAUCCACGGCAAUGCAUCUUGAAUCCUGUUAAGAUAUCUUCUGUAAUCGAGCCGUAAAUCCAGCCAAGCUGCACGUACAAAAGAUACAUAAGUCUUAGUGUUUAAACUUGAAAAACAUUAUAAAGUUUCAAGUGGUUGGCAAUGGCAUUUUAAGUACCUCGCUUCCCCAUUCUGUUUUGUCUUCAUAACCACAACUAAUUACAUGAAUGGCUUCUUUGAGCAAAGCUGCGGGGCUUGAAGAAGGAGGAACACCACCUUGUUCCAUCAGUGUUGAAGUUACAAAAAUGGCUGAUUGUCCAAAUUUCUUUUCAAAGUUCAUGUGGGACAUCAAUAACUCCUUGUCAUCUUCGGCUGCUGUUAGUAUAUAAAAAAGAUUUUGAAGUUAGGCGAAGCGAAUAAACAAUAUAAGAAAUGUAAUGCCAUUGGUAACAACCUUCUAGGCUUAGACCAUUUGCAUUUCCACCAUCCUUAGAGUGCUUUUUGUCCUUUCUGCGGCGUCCAAAACAAGGGCAGCAACCACAGGUUACCAUUUUCGGGCGCUUAGGUCCCUUUGGAGGUUCAUAACCAUAAAGAGCUUGCCUUCUGAAAACACACCCCGUGCCGACAUAUACAGGGCCUUGUAUACCAUCUAGACCUUUCAUGUUAAUCUGCAGAAACCAGAGAACAAGAGUUAAAAAGGUUUGAUUCAUUUAUUAGUCCUUAAAUCAUCUUAUAGCGUACAAGAACAUGCUGCACUUACAUCAAAGAAAACUGUGUUCCGAUUGGCAUAUCGAUCAUGUCUAUCAAUACCAUCGAAACGUUGAGGGAAUUGGACAUAGCAAACCUUUCUUCCAAUUUGAGGGUCCAUCAAGAAACACAUAGCCUCUCUUACAGCCUUGCUGUUAUUUAAAUAAUGGUCACAAUCCAAGUUCAACAUAAAAGGAGCAUUUGUGAGCACCCCCGAGACCCGAACCUGAAAUUUUUGUAUAGAAUUAACAUAAUUAUUAUCAAAUAAAGUAGGGUCUUAGAAAGGAAGGGGAACUUGAAUGAAACAGGAGUUAGCAAAUGCUUAAGAUCUUUACAAGGGCGUUCAUGGCACCAGCUUUCUUGUGAUGCAAGAAACCAGGCCUUUUCUCUCGAGAUACAUAGACGAGACGAGGAAGCUCAUUUCCUUCGGUAUCAUGGCCUCCACUUUGACCGAGAAAUACUUGAAUCAUACCAGGGUGAUCUUUAGUAUUGUUUCCUGGCCAUGGUGUCCCAUCUUGCAUGAUCCACCCUUCUGGAGGAACCUUUUGGGCUUUGGCUACAAGUGCAUUUAUCCUAACCUUGAAUUCUUCAUAUUCUCUCUGUUAAAGCACCAUGAAAAAAUGGUUAUUUUUACAUAAACCAGCUCACUGCAACUUAAAACUCUGAAUUUUUUGCAUACAAACAGACCUUCAUAGCUCGACGCUCCUUCACGAAUGUCGGCUGGACUUUGUCUUUGAGGUAAUCAACUUUUAAAGUAAAGUACAUCUCCGGUGCUCGGGGCUCUAUAGCAAAUUUCUUACAGAACGGCACCCAUUUUCUAGCAAAUUCAGCUGUUUGAGACAAUGAUUCAAAGGUGAGCAUGGAAGCACCAUCGUCAGAAAUGUAACAAGAGAUUUUAUCCACUGGAUAGUCCAUGGCCAAGAUCGAUAGAACUGUAUUCGCUGUUACUAGAGGAGGUUCCUUCAAUGGAUCCACUGUACUGACAAAAAUAUCAACAGAAGCAAGCAUGUUGGGCUCACCUUCCCUCUCAUACCUGCAUCAAACAUUAAUUAUGAGCUCAAAUCAAUGCUACACUGUUCACUAGAACAUUGUGAAAUCUGUUUACCUGAGGGAAAGGCGAUCGAGAUACGUCUCGCGGUCAAUAGGGAACCAUUUAGGGAACUGAUCAAGGAUCCAUGAAAAGGCAAACCAGAUUUCACAGAUCACGGAAGUUAGCCAAAGCCCAAUUGCAUCAUGUACCGGGUUCAAAAUCCGAUAGCGAAGAAAGAAAGCAAGGAUAACUAGACGAGCCACAAUCACCAUACGAUAAGGAUUGAUUUUGCUCGAUGCAAUUGGCACUUUCCUUGACAAUGGCUGCCUAGCUUCAUCAAGCCUGUAAAGAAGGUUCUGCAUGAGAAAAACUCAUACAAAUUCUUUUUCACAUGGAAGCACAUAAUAGCCAUAAUUACUUACAUAGCCAUGUCAGCAUCAUAGGCAUCAUCAGGUUCAGGACCCAAAUUCCCUUGCUGCAUUUUCCAAUCAUCCAUCCUUUCUCUCCAUCCUCCCUCUUUCUUUUCAUCCCAUCUUGCACUUCCUUUUGUUUGGCAAAUAUUUAAUACAUUAUAGAUGUAAUACAAAAUAAAUAUAUAUAUACAAGUACUUUUAGAUAAUACAAGAUUAAAAGCAUACCAGGUUCAGACAUAGGAUAUGGAUGAACUCGUUUAUUUGACAUGUGUUCCCCAUAAGCAAGAGAGCUUCCUAUUGGGAACUCCCCGCUCACCGGCCGAGAUUGAACACCAGCUAAACCGGGUGGGAUUUGCAAACUUUCAUCGUCUUCAGGGCCUCUCCCGUAGCUCAUCUUUCCAUGAAGCAUCGAUUCAGCGAUAUUUCUAUACUUGUUUUGUUCAUCAUCAAUGUUGAAUUCAUGUUCGAUAUCAUCCACAUCCUCUUCAUCUUCAUCUCCCUCCACCCUAGGACUCCCUUCACCGUACAAUCAAAACCGAAGGGGAAAUGAAAUGUGAGUUUAUUUCGAAGAAUCAAUGGCGGCUGCACCAAAGGAUGUAAAUGAGUAAAUGGCAAUACCUUUGAGGCGCUUGUAUCUAGUUUUGCAUUGAGGACAUUGUUGACUCCCUUCUCUCCUUUCAUACUCAUAACAAGGCCUACAAACUGGAAAACCACACUCGUUGCAGGCCACGAAAAGAUCUCCAUCGACAGUCAACCCAAUUUCAUCACCACAAAUCUCACAAACUUGACCAUCCAAGUUCUUCAGAGGUUUAGGCUGAAAUGCACCACAAACACAAACACAAAAUCAAAACCCAUCUCAAAAAAAAGGUGUAAGUGAACUGUUCCAUAAAGCUGACGUUCUUUUACCUCUUCAUGGCCAUGAAUGACAACAAGUUCAUUGCGGUUGUGAGAGCCCGCGACGAGUCCGGCGCUGGCUUCCAUUGGAAGAUAUGAAAGGAGGGAAUGAAUGAAUGAGGAACAAUACAAUGGAGAGAAGAGAUGAAAUAGAGUUUUGUUGGGAGCUGAACAUGUGCCUUAAGGGACUGCGUUCGUUUGUUGCAGAGUCUACAUUGCCUUGAAGUUAAGCUUUCCUCUGUCUUCUUUUUUUCAACUACCAUUGCCUUCCCUGCUUUUACAAGUUUCAAGCUUCAGCGACCUCCCAGCUGUCUAUUUUUCAUCAUUGCUUUUUCUUCUUUCCCGUAAUUGAAUCAUGUUUGGGUUGCCUGCCGAAUUUCCAAAGGCUUUUUCAGAUACUGUAAAUAAAUAUAUAUUUCAUUGAUCUUUUCCGAUAUCAUAAGUAUUUUCAUUGAAUUACUUAGUGGUAAUGUAAAAGUAAAACUAAAAUAUCAAUUCAGAGAAGGGUGAUACUAAAUUUGAUCCGUGUAGAAGCGAAACAGUCAAAAUUGAUGUGAAAGAAUAUUUUAUCAUCAAAAUUCUGGUCACCGUGUAACAAUUUUCCAAGUGCAUACAACAUUUUUUUAAUUUCUAUUUUAGUCUCAUAUUAAUAUACAUUCUUCUUUUUUUAAUAUAUUUUUUUUACGCUACAUGAAAUUUAUUUAUUUAUUUUUUGGAACAUUUCUAAGAAUAGAAGCGUAGAUGGGUUGAUCUAAAGACACCAAUUAAAUGCUGAAUCCGAUGUUAGCAUCAAAUAUGAGUGUAUAUAUAUAUAACAUCAUAUAAAAUAACUAUUUGGGAGUAAAUAUUAAUAUUUAAAAAAUAAAAAAUCUGAAAAAACUAUAUGUGAAUACAUGUUAAAUAUUACUAUUUUCUUUUAAAUAAAAAUUUCUCAAUAAAAUAGUCAAGAUCAUGAAUAACUAAAACUAGUUAAAACAUUACCCAAAAUGAAAUUUUUUGAGAUAAAAUUUAGCAUGAUUAAUAUCGUAUCAAAAAAAAAUUUAUAUUUAUAUUGAAAUGUAUAUUAAUAUUUGCAUUUGUUUCGAAUCUAAAUUACAUAUUAUAAACAUGGCAUUACAAUUAGUAUUAAAAUUAAUAAUAAAAUUUAAUAUCUAAAAAUAUCUUUUAAAUAACCUUAAAUAAUUUUCUUCAAAAGAGAACUCGUAUACAGGUACAUCGUAAUUAGACCAAUUAAAAGCCUUUGAUGCUGUUGAAAACAGAAUUAAAAUACAAGCAAUAUUGGAAUACGAGACCCCGAAACUAUACAAUACAACAAAAUUAAUAAAUAUAUAUUUAGCUUUAUUUGGUGGUGGAAAUGGUGAUAAAAAUGAAGAAGAAGAACGUGAGAAGCAUGCUUGAGGAUGGAAGAACUUAAAAGCAAAGCAAAAGUAGCAAUCGUUAGGUAAAGACAUGUUGAAAUCUCUCCAUCUAAUAUUGUAGACAAGCCUCCCACCGUUUUAUAUACUAACUCAGACUACAAAUUUUAUGAUUUCUCAUUGAAUUGAACCGUUGAUGAUGCAGUCAAAAAUUUCAGCACUGAUACCCACCAACAAAAUUUCCUUAAGUCUAUGAGCAACGCAUGAAGCUCGCAAAGACUAUCAUCAGGUGACUGCUGUGAUUGCUAGAAUCUAGCAUUUUUCAAAAUGGGUGAAAGGAAUAGCAGGGCAUGGUGGUGACUAAAGCUGUUAUAUCAAUGUUGGUUUUACAGGUGUCAAUCAACAUGUUUAAUAUACUUUGUUUGGGUCAUGCCAACUUCUUUAAAGAAAUACACAAUAUCAACAUAAGGAGCUUUAAAAAAAAUUAAGGUUAAAAAUAUCAAAUAAGUUUUCUGAAAAUAAUUUUAAAAUAAUUAAUUACCUAUUUGUUAUAAGUUGACCCAAUUAAGUCCUUUGAAUUAUUAUUUGUACUUAAAUUGAGCUAUUUGAAUUCAUUUUUUAUUAGAAAUUCAUAAUGAGUCGUUAAGUGAUAAUAUGGUAACUUACAUGAUGACUAACAUGAAAAUAUGAUUUUGGGGUAAUUGAUAUGGUAAGUUAACAUAACAUGGAGGGCUUAAUUGAUUUUUAUUUUAUUUUAUGAAAGUUUAAUUAAUUUUUAGUCCUUUUUAAAAAAAAAAAAACUAAGUCUUUCAUGUCAUUAUUUUUUCUUGUCAUUAGGGGUGUGCAAAUUUCAGAUAAAAUCGAAUUAAUUUGGUUAAUAGACUGAUUCGGUUAAUCGGUUAACCAACCAAACUAAUUCGGUUGGAAUCGGUUAAUAAUUUUUUGAAAGUUCAGUUAACGGUUAAUUUGGUUCGAAAUCGGUCGGUUAAUCAAAUUAACAUAAUUAAAUAAAUAAUAUUAUAAUAUAUAAGUAUUCGGUCGGUUCGGUUAAUUUUUUGAAAAUAUAAAUUAAUUGGUCAGUUAAGUCGGUUAAUUUUUUUUAUAUAUUUUAUACUUGUUUUAACCAAAAAUAAAAUAACAUAUAAAUAUUGGUUAAUUUGGUUAACCGACUGAAUUAACCGAAAAAGUUCGGUUCGGUUAUUUUUUUGAAAAAAAUUUGGUUCGGUUAUUUUUUUUGAAAACAAAUUCAGUUCGGUUAACGGUUAAGGGUUUAAAAGGGUCAGUUAAUUCGGUUAAUGGUAGUUCGAGUUGGUUAACUGAUUGAACACCGCUACUCGUCAUCUUGCUAUGUCAACUGUCUUGUCAGCAAUCUGAAUUCAAUGAUUCAAUUAUGUACAAAUCAUUAUUCAAAUAGUUCAAUUAGAUACGUUUUUCAAUGAGAAUUUAAUCCAUUUUUAAUAUUUUCAAAAAAAUUUAACAUUUUAACAAAAAAAUUUAUUAACUAGUUUUUAAAAUGAAUAAUUAUAUUCUCGUUGUAUUUAAUUUUAUCACCCAACAUGAUGUUUUUUUAAGAAAAUAUAGAAUCAAAAUAGAAUUAUUUUUUCCAUUUAAGUAAACAUGUGUAUUGUAUUUUUAUGCACAAAAAACUGACAAAUUUUAAAAAGAAAAAAAUUUAAGACUUCAUUUUGUUGGUAAUCAGUAUUGUAUAGGUAAGUGUAUCGUUUUUCUAUUAAAAUUGAUAUAUAUUGAUAUCAAUUUAUUUUGAUAUAUUAUUUUAAAUUUAUCAAUUUUUGAAAAAAAUAUUUAAUAUAUCAAAUGAAUUAAAUUAAAUGAAUCCAAAUAAAAUAUUAAUUGAUUAUAUAAAAUAUUCAUUAAUAAAUUUUACAAAUAAAAUUUUAUCAUUUAAUAAAUCUAAAGUAAACAAGAAAAAAAAUCCCAUACAUUAAACCACAAAAUUAUUUUAAAAAUAUACAAUAAAAUCAUCUCAUAUUAGAUAUAUAAAAUGAAAGUUUAAUAAAACAUUCAUAAAAUAUUUUGUGAAACAUGUAAAAGUUUUAUUUAUUUUUUAAUUUGUUUGAUAUAUAAAUUUUUGUUUUUUUAUAAAGUUCAAAUUUUAAAUUUGAAACUUAAACACCUCCGUUUAGCAUUGCUUUUUUUGGUUGAAAAUUAAAGUUCCAUUUAAUAGUGAAUGCAGCCUUACACCUUACAAGUGGAAGGCUCUUUUUGACGAUACCGCAAUCAAAAUCUUAUAAUGUCAAAUUCGUAUAUUCUGAUGGUCAUCUCAUUUACUCCGCAAAAUCUAACCCUUUUGCUCUCAUUUAUUAAGCCUUCCGUAGCUUGCAUUUAAGAUUUUUUUUUAAAAAAAAAUUGUGUGAAAAUUAUGCAUCUAAAAUAUGGAUUUAUGUUAAAAAUAAUAUAAUAAUAAAAUCUGAAUGAACAAUGAAAUAUAUGAUUUGUUAAUUACAAAUGACAAAUUGUUUUAUUAUUAUUUAUAUUAAUUUGUUAUUUUUAGUUAUCAAAAUGAAUCUUGUUUCAAAUAAUUAAAAGAAAAAUUUGAACAGUAACAUUUCAAUGAAAAAGAGAAUCUUUAUCGACAAAGUUCCAUCAAAUAAAACUAUGUGAUAAUUUAUUUUUUUUCAAAAACUAAAAAGUAUAACAACAACUAUCAAUUAAAAUAAAAUUAGUAUAGUUUUAUUGGAGUGUUGGGUUAAUUAUUUAUUUUCUAAUCAAAUUAUAAAGUAAAAAAAUUGAAAGAUUUAUUAUGUUUAAAGUUUUUGUAUUCUUCAUAUAUUUAGAAUUUAAUUUUUAUUAUUUGUUAAUAUUGCUAUAUUUAUUAAAUAUUUUAUUAAAUUUACUAGAGGAGCAUUUUAAAAUUAAAAAGAUACUCACUUGGUAUCUAUGUAAUAAUUUUUUUUUAAAUUUCACAUAAGCAUUUUAAUCAGAAUAAAAUAUUUAGACUGACUAAUAACAUUAUAAGAAUCAAUGUGUCAAAUUAUACCAAAAUUAAAAUAUAGAGAUUCUGUUUUAAAUUUGAGUGAAAUAUAAAGAUUAAAAUUAAAAUUUAACCAUUUUUGUAUGAUCUCAAAAAGGUAAAGGGGUUAAAGAUGAAAUUUAACCAUAACCUUUUCAUGUCAAAAGAGAGGAAAAAAAGGGUCCCACUGUCAUGAGAGGAAGGCCGAAGGUUGUGCAGAUAUGACGAUCAAAUUUUAAUAGUUUAGAUUCUUUUGUUCAUUGUACUAGUAAAAAUGUUGUACUCCAAAUCCAAACUUGCAGAAUUCUCCGCACUCUCUCUUUGGGGAACUUUAAUUAUCGUAGUUGGGUUAAUAGAGUGUCUUAUACAAAUGCAAAAAGAAAAAAGAGAGGAUAAAAUCUAGAUGAAUCUAAAUUUGUAUAUGAAUAGCAUUAUUUAUCUUACUGGAAUUACAUUAUAAUAGAAUAUUUUAUAAUUUGAACCAUUCUAUAAAUUUAGUAAAAAAUAAUUUUAAAUUAUAAGAUAAUUUACCAUUAAAAAAACCUAUUUUAAAAAAUCUUACCUAAAAGUGAUUGGUCUACCUUGAUGUAAAAUGUAACGAAAUUCCAUGGUAUAACGUAAUGAUAUAUGAGUUUGGAAAUUCUAGAAUACAACAGAUGACUCAUAAAGACCACAAUGAUGUAAAUUACCGAAUUCUAAUAGACGGUAAUGGUGAAAAAUGAAUAAUUAAAAUUCAGAUCAGCACAUGUAAGUCACUAAGUUGGAGUGAUAGUUUUUUUUUGAUAAAAAAGUUGGAGUGAUAUUUACUUACAAAAUAAAAGGGACGUCACAAAGCGAUAACCGGUAAAAAUUAAGACAAAAACACUUAAAUCUGCACACAUUGUUAAAGAGAAGUGUUAAAAAAUGAAAAGUAAAUAGAUAUACUUUUUCUGAAGGAAAAAAAAAAAAACUUAUGUAAAUGCUUUUCCAAGUAUCAGUUUUGUCCUUGUAUAAUUGUGUUAUUGCUCUCGACAAAUUGAUUCUUGAAAUUACUAAGUUUUCCUUUGGGUUUUUUAGUAGCCAUAUUCAAGUUUCAUUUAUGCUUAUUAAUUUUGAUGUAAACUUUUACACUUUUAUUAAAAACACUGUCUUGUAAAAUAAUUAUAAAUAUUUUUUAUAAAAAAAUAAACUUUCAUUAAUUAAUUGCACUACAAUAAAGCAAAGGAGAAAAAAAAAUAUUAUUCACAACUAUGCUUGGUUGAUGAUGUCAUUGGCCCCCAAAUCACCCCUUUACAUUGGCAAAGCACAAAAACAAUCUCGACAUAACCCAACCUCUUAAUGUUGAAAACUAAAAUCAAACUUGUGAAAACCAACACUAACUAAAAAGAAACUAAAACUAAAUGUUUAAUACAUUAAUAAUUACGAAUGGCUAAAUGUUUAAUAGAUUUCAUCAUUUUUAUUAGUGUGGGUUUGUUCGAAAAAGUAGUUCGAUAAUUAAAUUUUAAUAUAAUUAUUUAUAAGUUUAUAUAUAUGAUAUGUUUAAUCAUUGUAAUUAAUAGAUAUCACAUAAUUGAGUGCAAUUGAGAUAUCUUAUUUACUUACUUUAAUUAUUAUGGCAAGUGUUGACGGUUGAAAAUCAAGGAAAUUACACGUAAAUAUUAGUUAUGACGACUUUUGAACUUUUUUAUUUUUUAUUUUAAUUAUUAAAUCAUGCAAUUACUAUUUCAAUCAUCGGACAUGAAAUACAUAAUUAACAUGUAAUUUACCUAACCCAACCAAAACAUAUUUAGAAAAUUAAAAAUAAUUGUAAUUAUAAGAGGUUGGAGUAACUUUGAAAUUACCCCCUAAAAUUUGUUUGGAUAACGUUAAGUAAUUAAAUGAAAAUGUAAUUAUCAGGGUAGUAAUUAUACUCUAUUGUAAUUGUAAAUAAUUGUAACUCAUUAGAUAUGUUUGGUUUGACAAAUUUUAAUUAUAUUCUCUAUGAUGUUUAGUAGCGCAAGCUGUAAUUACAAAAAAGAGUUACACAGCUAAAUAAUUUAUUAAAAAUAUUAAUUACCAUCAAAAUUACUAGUAUGAUAAAAAAAUUUUAAAUAAUAAAAAUUAAAAUCAAAUCAGCACAUGUAAUAUAUCAAUCUAAGAAAGUAAUCAAUAAUGCAAUUAAUAAUAGAAAUAAUAAGAAAAAUAAACAUUAUAUACAAUUUUAUUUAAUUGUUUUAACAUUCCAUAUUUGUUGGGUUAUUCCAUUUUUAGCAUUUAACAUAUGCUCGUUGAUAUCAUUUGUUAGUCAUUGACUAAACUCUUCAUCAUCUGAAUUCGAAUUUGUAUCAUUAAAAUUAUCAAUAUCCCAUUCUUCCAUGUAGCCUUCAAAGUAUGGAUGAUUUCAAUUCCAUCUAUGAAUAAAGCUACGGAGUAUACAACAUGCUAGUACGAUCCAAACUUUUUUUUUAUAUUAUACUAAGGUUAUGCUAAUAAUUAUUUGUUUAGAACGACAAUUGUUAUCUGAACGACAUUUCAAAGCUUAGAAUUUGUCAAAUUAAAUAUUUUGUGAGCUGUUUUUAAUGCUUGUGUUCAGCUCUAUUUUCUCAAAUAGUAUCGUACCCUACGAUAUUGUGUAAUAAAACUUUUUAUAUUCAAUUAACUAUCAUAUACUGCAAAAUAUUUAGGUUCAUAGUGUAAACAAUCUGUAGUUUUUAUUAUAAAAACUCAUAUAAACUUAUUAUAGAGAAAAUUUUAUACUAGAUUAUAACCUUUUUUUAAAAUACUUAAAUUAAGUUAAAAUUUAAUAUUAAAAUUUACAACAUAAAACCUUUAUAAAUGCCAAAUAACUCAUAAAUAAUAUAAUUUUUUACCAUAACUUUAAAAAGUUUUUUUUUAUAAAUAAAUUAUAACACUUUUUUUGUAAACAAAUGUAUUGUUUUUUUGUGAUGUAUAAAAUGGACACAAAAAUAAGUUACAUUCAUUUUUUUCUAUAACUUUUACAUUAUAACAUUUUUAUAAUAUACUUUUUGACCAUGACUUAUAGGAUUUAAAUAAUAUAAUUUUUUGUCAUAACUUUAUAAAAUACACAAAUUAUUUUUUAUGAUAUACUUUAUUAAGAUUUAUAAUAUAAAUUUAGAAAUUUUAGAUAUAACCAUCUCAAACAUUCAUAUAUGUUCAUACUUAUAAUAUAAUUUUCACAAUUUAAACUUGUAUAAAAAAUAAAAAUUUAAAGUUAAAUCAUAUAUGAUGUUUGAAAAGUCAUAGGAUAAUUGAAUUUGGGUGUAAUUAUCUACGUAAUUACUCCAAUUCUCGCACACCCUCUAAGAAUUAAAAAGCGUAAUUGAAGUGCUUUAAUUAUACUAAAUUCAAUAGAAUUCAUUAAUUACAAUGAUUAUCCAAAUAUGUCAUUAUUAUGUAAUUAUAAGUAAUUACACUCAAAUUCAAUUAUUAGGUGAUUUUCUAAAUAUUACCUAAUGUCUAAAUUUAUACAUUAUUUAUUCACAAAAAAAGAAAAACAUUAUUUCCUUGCUAGAAGUAUUAUUUUAAACAUAUUUUAGCCGAUGAGUUAAUAAUAAGCUAACUUUGAUUUUUUAGUAUAAAAAAUAUUUUUAACACAUUUUAGCACAUAAAUUAGUAAUAAGCUAAUUUAGUUAUUUAAUUUUUAGCCACUCACAUAAUUUAUUUAUUAAAAAAAAGAAAAAUUUAUUUGAAGAGGUAUUGUUUUAGAAUUUUCAUCCUUUAAUUUAAAGCUUAAUUUUUAUAUUAACUAUCUUUUAUUCUUUUAAUAUAAUUAUAGUUCGAAUGCAAGUUAUUUUUUAAAAAAUAAACACUCGAUCAUAAACUAUAACUUUAGUUAAAUGUUUAAUUUUUUUAAGUAGUAUAAUGUUUUGGGUCGAAAUAAGUUUUGAUAAUAUCUACUUUUUAAUAUAAUGUUUAAAAUUAUCCAUAAUUAUUUUUCAACUCAUAAAUAGGAUGAUAAUAAGCUUCAACAGAUUCGAACCUAUACGUAGUUUUGCAUUGACAAUAAUAUUCAUACUAAUCGAAUUAAGACUCAAUUGACAUUACUAUUUAUAUUUUCAUACUAAAUUUAUCGUAAUCUUAUAUGAAAUUUUAUAUAACAUGCUUAUAAACAUUAACUCCUACACAGUCAGUCAACAGGUAAUAUCAUGUCUUUAACAUUUAUAAAAAUAAAUACGAAAUAAUUUUACCGUUAAUAAUGUUUUUGGUGAAAGGCCUCUUUAAAAUAAUUACAUUUAUGAAUAAAUUUAUUACAAUUAAUGAUAGUAUCACGAAAAUACAUUUUGAAAAUAAAUAAGAAUAAAUAUUAAAAUUAUACAUAAAUUUUAAUUUAACAUAUGAUAUUAUGUAUAAAUUUUGAUUUUACGUGAUUUUAUUUAUAAAAUAUUUAUUUAAUUUAAUUUUCAUAAAUCAUUAGAAUUAACAUCAUUUUACAUUUAUAUAUUGUAUACACAAACAAUAAUAUUAAUCCAAUAUAAAAAUAAAUGUAUGUGUUAAUUUCUUUAAACAUAUACAAAUAAAUUAAAAUUAAAAUCAAAAUUAAAAUUUAUUAUUUAUAAUUGUAUCUAAAUUUAAUAUUUAUCCCGAUCAAAUAACUCUACAGAUAUCACGUAAUUAACGCUAAUUAUCAUUGAGAUGGUAGUUUUCUUUUUUAUUACAUUUAUUUCUAUUUGGAAUUUAUUAAACAAGUGGAAAAGAAAAUUUAAAUUACAAAGGAGUUUUUCCUCAGGAGAAACAGAUAGUAAAAUAACUAGAGAACCGUAAAAUUUUAGGAGUUUUUAAAAAGUCAUCAAGUGAUUUAAUAAAAAUAUAAAUUAUAUUUAAAGUUAAAAACAUUUUCUAAUAGAAGAUACAGAUUCUUCGAUAAUUAUACAUUCUUUAUUAUUUAUUUUAGUAUUUUUAUAAAUAUUGUGAUUGAAAUUUAUGUUGGAUUUAAUAAUAUUGAAAACGUAAAAUUAUUAUUUUUUAAAUGUCUCAUAUUACAACGUAAAUUCCGACUUCGAGAAGAGGUAAGGGUAAAGUUAUCAAUUAACGCCAAAGGCAGUCUAAGGGAUAAAGACGUAAUUAUGUAUGUAAAAUAAUAAAUAUAAUUCAGAACCAGAUGCAUAUAAAUGAAAAUAUCGACUCAAAAAAGAAGAAAAGAAAAAAUAAGAAAAGAAAAACCCUUUCCAAAGAAGGGUUUGUUUUUCCUCACUACCGUCCUCACAUCCUUUUUCUCUUCUCUUCUUUGCGCCACCCGCAGAAGAGAGAGAGUAAAAAAGAAACUCACUUUCAUCACGUCUCUCUCUCUCUCUUAGAUAUAAAAAAUCUUCCUUCCUUUUUAGGUUUUUCUUUUUCAACAUUCAGAUUCAGCGUUUUAGAUAUCGCUGAGUUGUUGGUUUUUAUAUAUCGGACGGCUGAGAUUGGAUCUUACCUGAGAAAAGAAAUCGAGGUAUGCAGCAAGGUGAUCAGACAGUGUUGAGCUUAAGACCUGGUGGUGGUCGAGGGAGUAGAUUCCUUGGUGGUGGUUCUUCUUCAUCGUCAUCCUCUUCUUUAUCUUUUGGUUCACUUUCUUCUGAUCUUCCACUUUUCCGUCCUCAUGGCGGUGCUCCUUCUUCCUUUUCCAUCAAGGUUAUAUGCCUUUUUUUUUUUGGAUCUAGCCUUUUUGAUGUUGACUUUAGUUGCUUUUUUAAAAAAAAAAAAUUAAACUGCUAGUGUAGCAGCUAUUACGUACUACUCUUUUGAGAUUGAAUAUUUUGAUGGUAGAUUUGAUUUUAGCUGAGAUAAAACAUUUACAUAUUUUAUUUUUCGUGACUUAGUUUCUAACCUUAUCCUUUUUGGUUUAGUAGCAUACUUGUAUUUUCUUUAAUUGGAAUGCGCAGAAAGAUAUUGGGCAUUUAAAAGAGGAAGAAUGUGUUUAGCUUUGUUCUAAUUCCUGGUGGGGCACUUAAUAUGUGUACUUGACAGAAAAAAAAUGUAGUCCUUAGUUGGGAAUUUUUUGAGUUGAGUGCCUAAAGAACCUACAAACACCAAGUAUCUUAUAUAUAUUUUGAAACAAAUAUAGAUAUUCCAUUUUUUGAAGAGCGAUUGCUUGUCCCAAAGUUUAUUUCAGCACACGGACAAGUUUUUUUAGCACGCACGAGCACAUAUGAAAUCAAUCAAAUUCAAUUGUGGAAUUUUGAAAUAUAAGAUAAUAAUAUAUAGUUCUAUAGUUUCAAAUUCUAUUUACUUGGAGAAAAUUAGCUAAUACAAUUAAGUUGAUAUUUUAAUUGUAUGGACCUUUUUUUCCCCAUAAUGAGUAACUAAUUUAUCAGUUGCUUUACUGUUAUAGGCAGGAGACUCACGAUUUGAUGGGCGUGAAUCUGUGCGGUACACUAGGGACCAGCUUUUGCAGCUUAGGGAGGUAAUUGCACGAACUUGUGCUUAGUAAUAUAAUUAAUCUGUGCGUCAGUAGCCUAUUGUUGCAUUUUACAUCUAAAAACCAAACAGAAAACCAGUAAGCCUUCAUUUGCAUGCAUGGAAGUUCUUCAAUGUUGUUAGCAUUCUGCUUCAAUUAUAUUGAGUUAGUCAUGCAAAUAAGCUGUUCAGCAUUUUUCCUAAUUGGUUUUGGUUCUACUGAAUUGAAAUUAAGGGCAGUUUGACUUUUCUUGAUAGAAUAUAUGAUUAUGUUUGCCAUCACUUUAGGCUGUAGAGGUUUCUGAGGAGAUUCUUAAAAUCAAACGAGAAAUUGAAGUGGAACUCUUUGGUGAAGAUCAGAACUGGGCUCGUGGAGAAAGCAAUGUAAGCUCUAAGUGCUUGCUUAUUUUAUAACUUUUUAACGAUCUUAUUCUUGUAGCAACAAACCACCAUGACAAAAUUCCUGUAUUUCCAAAUAUUACUACCAAGCAAUCAUUCUUUGUUAACAAUUGUCUAUUUUUUUAUAAUCUUUUUCUAGUCAUCAAAUCAGGUUCCGACCCGUUAUACUGAGCCUGACAAUCGUGAUUGGCGCAAUCGCUCGGCACAGUUUCCUUCUACUGGAGAGGAGAGGUCCUGGGAAUCACUUCGGGAUAGAGAAUCGGGAAACCGAUAUGACUCCAGACAGCCUGAAGCUAAUCAAUUUAAUCGUCAAGAUCAGCUCAACUCUCAGUUCUUAAGGGCCCAAAUCUCUUCUAACCAGGGGGUAAUUCUCAUAAAACGAGAUUCUUUUUGUUUUUGAGAUAUCAUUUGCCUUCUUUUCUUUAUUGUUUGUGUUGGCUAUUGCCGGAAUUGUUAGGAUGCUACUUCUUGGGGUUGUUAGGUGGGUAUUUAAGGCAUUUUGUGACAUAUUACUUGGUCGAUGAGCUAUUUGUUGGUAAAUUUACAUUGGGCAUUAGUGAUGCAUUGGCUGUUCUGCUCCACUUGACAUCUUGACCUCUAGGCAUUUAGUUCAAUCAGAGAAAGUUAAUUGAAUGAGUACACCAUUGAUUUUUUGUUUUUAAUAAUUUUUAUGUAUGAUAAUAGACGGUUCAACAGUGUUAGUAACCUUAUAGUUAGGAUUUUUCUUUUCUUUUAUUUAUUAACUCAUCUGCUUCAUUUCUGCUGCAUUUUCUCAAUUUUUACAAAGUGAGUCCAUUCUAUGGACUUUGUCACCUGUUUUGUUCAUAUUAUUUACUCCUAUUACUCUUAAGAGAAUCAAGUAUUUCCUGCUGCAAUAUAUGUCUAUAAUUUGGUUUUGGCAUUAAUAUUCCUUUCCUUUGUUGAACCAGGGAGGACAAACUCCAGCCUUGAUUAAGGCUGAGAUACCAUGGUCAGUCAGAAGGGGUAAUCUUUCUGAGAAGGAGCGUGUCCUAAAAACUGUAAAAGGGUAAAUAUUUUGAAAAUAUGUUUCUUGCAUCGUACAUUGAAUCAUACACAUUCUAUUGAUUUUGUUGAUACACCAUAAAUUUAAAUAGCUGGUCACAUGGGAAGAUAUUUUUUCUUUCAUAGCCAAAUUUAUCUUCUAUUGCGCAUGCAGUUAUGGUUUACAGUUUUUUAAAAUCCUGCAAAGUGGUUUUGAUAUCAAUUUAUGAUAUGAUAGUUAAUUACUGUUUUUUGUAAAUAGUUUUGUUUUAUGUGCAGUAUAUUGAACAAGUUGACUCCUGAGAAGUAUGAUCUUUUGAAGGGCCAACUUAUUGAUUCUGGCAUCACAUCAGCUGACAUCUUGAAGGUUAUUAUUUUUGCAUUCUGUUAUUUUUUUUACUUCACUGCACAAUGUUCUGUGCAUUCACACUUGUUUGUACAUUCUAUUUGUAUAAAUGUAUAUAUAUGCAUACACGCUUCAUGCGUUUCACUUAAUAUGUGUUCUUUUAGUUACUGUAUUUGCAAGUGACAUUAGAAGUGACAUCACUGAUGGUAUCUCUAUUAUCUUUACAGGGUGUUAUUUCUUUAAUUUUUGAGAAGGCUGUUUUGGAACCCACAUUUUGCCCUAUGUAUGCUCUUUUAUGUUUUGAUCUUAAUGAUAAGCUCCCCUCAUUCCCAUCCGACGAACCUGGUGGAAAAGAAGUUACUUUUAAGCGACUCCUGCUGAAUAACUGCCAGGAGGCAUUUGAGGGAGCUGAUAAAAUCAGGGAAGAAGUGAGGUUGAUGACAUCUCCUGAGCAAGAGAUGGAGCGCAGGGAUAAAGAAAGGAUGGUCAAGCUCCGGACUCUUGGUAACAUUCGUUUAAUUGGUGAGCUUCUGAAGCAGAAAAUGGUACCUGAGAAGAUAGUCCAUCACAUUGUGCAGGUUAUUGCCAUUGCCAAUACUACGUUUCUCAUCAAUCGAACUUGAACAAUUGGUAAUUUACUAAAAUAAGCUUUUUGCCUAUUCUGAUGGACAGGAACUUCUGGGUCAAGAUUCUAAAGCUUGCCCUGCCGAGGAGAAUGUUGAAGCCAUUUGUCAGUUCUUCAAUAUUAUUGGUAAGCAACUUGAUGAGAGCCCAAAAUCACGGCGCAUAAAUGAUGUGUACUUCAACAGACUGAAGGAGUUGACUACAAAUCCUCAGCUUGCACCAAGACUGAGAUUUAUGGUUCGUGAUGUUCUUGAUCUGCGUGCAAACAACUGGGUUCCCAGGCGUGAGGAGGUAACUCAUAAAUGCCAACAAAUUUUUUGUUAAGAUUAGACACAAUGUUGACAUGUCCAUUUUAAUGGGUUUUGAUGUCUUUUUUUGCAUUGAUUAUUGUAGGUGAAAGCCAAAACAAUUACAGAAAUCCAUUCGGAGGCUGAAAAGAAUCUUGGGCUGCGUCCAGGUGCUACUGCAAGUAUCAGAAAUAGUCGUGUUGUUUCUGCUAGUCCAAUGAGUCCUGGUCCUGGUGGUUUUCCUAUCAAUCGUCCUGGUACUGGUGGUAUGAUGCCUGGAAUGCCAGGAACUAGGAGGAUGCCUGGUAUGCCUGGAAUGGAUAAUGAUAAUUGGGAGGUUCCUAGAAGCCGGCCGUUGCCAAGGGGUGAUGGACUGGGUACCCAGUCUGGAGGGCGUGCCUCACCAGUAGUCAAUAAGUCGACUUCAAUGAAUCAAAGGCUAUUACCUCAAGGUAGUGGUGGCCUAAUGAGUGGUAGGACAAGUGCCCUGUUGCAGGGUAGUUCAACCCCUCCUGCUAAGCCACCCAACUCAAUUUUAGGUGCUGAGUCUGUUGCACAAGCUUCUCUUUCCCCUAAACCUGCUCCGGUGGAGAAACCACCAACUCAGGCUGCCAGGCUUAAUACAGAUGAUCUUCAGAGAAAAACACGGGCAUUGUUAGAGGAAUAUUUCAGCGUUAGGCUACUAGAUGAAGCAUUACAGUGCGUGGAGGAACUAAAAUCUCCAGCAUACCACCCUGAGGUUGUUAAAGAAGCGAUCUCCGUUGCUUUGGAGAAAAGCCCACCUUGUGUUGAACCUGUUUCAAAGCUUCUGGAGUACUUGUUUAUUAAGAAAGUUCUCACAGCUAGAGACAUUGGUACUGGAUGCCUACUCUAUGGUGCCUUGUUGGAUGAUAUCGGCAUUGACUUACCAAAAGCACCAAAUAAUUUCGGAGAAAUAAUUGGAAAACUUGUUCUGGCUGGGGGAUUAGAUUUCAAGGUGGUGAAAGAAAUCCUUAAGAAGAUGGAAGAUGACAUGUAUCAGAAAGCUGUAUUCGAUGCAACAAUAAGGAUCAUUAGCUUAGAUCCUUCCGGGAAAGCUCUGUUGGAUGCUCAGGCGAUCGAAGUUGAUGCCUGUACGAGUCUCUUCUAAAAUUUGCAAUCUACUUCACGUUACUAUAUCCGUCCGACCAUCCAUCCAUCGCUUUUUAUCACCGCUUCAAUAUAAUGUCCCCUGCCGGUUUUCCCUGUUUUUCGAGGCGAGCAGCUUGUAGUAUUUUUGAUUGAUGAAGUUAGAGCUACCUGCAAAGGACAGGUGAAAUUUUAUUGAGUUGUAUGUUUUUCUCCGGGUUGAUAGAGGUGUUUUAUUGAGAAAAAAGAAAUCGAAACAUAAAUGUCAUGUACAUUCCCUUUUAGGUGAAGUGCAUGCCAAAAUUCUCGGGGAAAAAUGGUCUCCCUUCAUUUAAGGGAUCCAGUUGUUUUUUUGACACAGUUAUUUAUUUAGUUUACUGAACUUAGUCAAGUUUUGUUCCGUCUUUAAGUGAACUCAUCAUAAAUUAAAUUUCAUUUCAUAUAUUUAUCUCUAUAUAAGCAUGAAUGUUUGGAGCUGGAUUUGUCACAUUGCUUGCAUUUUAUGUUAUGUACGUAUUUUGUGUGCCAGACUGCCAGCUAAAGUGAAUUUCUUUUUUCUAUGAAAUUGUGGUUUGGUUGGUGAUUGUAUCGUGAUUUUUCUAAGACCAGCACGAAUUAUUGAGUUUUACUGAUUCGAAAUUGAUUAUUUGUUUUUUUUUAAUUUUGAACUAAUAUUGUACAAUGGAACAGUUUUAAAUAGUAACUCCCUUGCACUGGAAUUAAAUUUUUUUAUAAUAUUUGAAGAUAAAUGUGAAACUAGUAGAACCUCGUAGGUUUAAUUUCAAUGAAAUUAAAUAAUUUGUUUGAAUCGUUUAUUUAGCCUCUAAACCUAACAAAUUUAAACUAAAUAUGGUUACAUGAAAUUGAUGAUUCUUGUAAAAUUGGAAUUAUAUAAAAAAUUAAGAAGAUGAGAAAAAUAUUUAUAUAUAUUAGAAUUGUUUUCCAACUUUUGAAGGUUUAGGUUAAAAUAAUUUAUUUAGAUAAAUUUAAUUUAAUUAAAAUAUGAGCUAGACUUGAGUUUAUUGGUCUUAUAUAUUAUAUGAUUUGUAGCAUAUAAAACUUAAUUUUUAUAAUAGUGAAGUAUUAAAAUGUAAAUAUUAAAAAAUAUUAUUUAUUUAAAAUUUUAAUAAAAAAUAAAUAAUUAAAUAAAUAAUUAAAAAUAAUAUAAUUUUUUGUAAAAGAAAUAUAUGUAACAGCUUCAAAUGAAUUUAUUUUUUUCUUUUUCAUAUGUAAUAUUUGUUUUAUAGUUUAUGUUUGGAAUCAGUAAUCGUUCCUUUCAACAAAAUUGAUUCUAAAAUUUAAAUUUACGUUUUCUUUUUUAGAGUACAAUACGUUUUACCAUUCAUAUUUAUUGGAAGACUAGUAUUUAUAAAUAUGAAGUGUAUUAAUACCAUAUAUAAAAUUGAGUCAAAUAUGACCAAACUUGAUCGUGAAUACUUCUUACUAUAGGGAUGGCAAUAGAGCGGGAUAGGAGUUGAUGUAGUUAGAGACAGAUCUAGGAGACUGGCAGGGGCCUUGACCCCUUAAAAUGAAAAAAUUUCUAUUUGGACAUUUAUAAUUUAUGAAAUUUUAAAUAAGUAAUGAUAAAAUUAUACUUUUUCUCCCUAAAAAUGAUAAAAUUAUACUUUAAUCAUCUAAAAAUUAUAAAAAUAUAAGCUAUUAAAAUAAUAAAAUUAAUUUUUUUACUAUCACAAAAAUGUAUAAUUAAUUCUGACCCCCUUCCAAAAUUUUUGGACUUCGUCCCUGCCUCUCUAAGUCAUAUUUUUAAAUCCACCGUUGAAUGUAGUUAAAUCUACCACUACUCCAUACUACACCGCUUCAUUAUAAAUAUAUACUCCUAAAAAUCGAAGUGUUGGAUAUAUCUAUUUCUAUUCCACUCCAUUUGGUUCUGCCUUAACUUUCUUUUUGAUGAAAAAGUUUCCUUUAAAUUUAAUUUAUGUUAUUUUAAUAUCUUCAAUAUUUUUCGAUACAAGAAAAAUAUUUAAACAUAAUUUUUCAAAUAAUUUAAACAUAAAACAAAUAAAUUUUGUUAACAUAUUAUUACAAUUUUACCCUUUUAAUAUAUAUAUUUAAAAAGAAACCUCAUUUCUAGUUUCCCUUUGUCUACAUGUAUCUCUCAUGAAUCACGCGAGUAUUGAUUGUGUCGGCGCCGUGUCCGAUUCGUGUUUGAUUUCUUUUGUUCCGUUUCCCGGCGUUUCAGACAACGGUACGAGGGGUUUCCAGCAUUAGUAUUUAAAGAUCGGAGGAUGAGUUCGAGAAAAGGAGGAUCAAAAGGGAAAGAGGUAUGUGGAGUCUCUAGUCCCAAGGUUGACCAGCUAAGCCAUGGUGUAGCGGAAAUGAACUUGGAUUCUUCACAAGAUGAUGGUGAGUGGGAAGUUAUUCAAAAAAAACCCAAGAAUAGAGGUGGAAGCAGUGGUGCAAAGCCAUGGGGUUCUCAAAAUUCCAACCCUAAACCUUGGGAUGGAGGCAUGCGGGGUAAUGCUAGACCUGGAAGAGGCACCGGCGGCAAUGCUUGGGCUAAUCAUGGUGCUGAUUCUAGGAUGGCAACUGGCCGAGGGAAUUCAAGGCCCCAAAUAGUCAACAAGAGCUUGGACAACAACCAAGUGCCUUCCUAUCCUGUCAUUCGCCCGCCUCUUGAGCAUGGUUGGAAUUGGCAAUCAAGAACUGGUUCCAAUCCAUCCAAGGGUUUUCAAGAUGGAUAUGAGAAAGACAAUCUCAACGCUGAGGCUGAAAAAGACAACGAUGUUGAUGAUCUUGAGGAUGAUUCGGACGACGUUGCUGCUGAUGAUUCUGACAAUGAGCUUCUAACCGAUGAAUUUGAUUCAGAUUCAAGUCAAAAGAGCCACGAGACAAGAAAGAAAAAUAGAUGGUUUAAGAAGUUUUUUGAUAGUUUAGAUAAGUUGCGUGUGGAAGAGAUCAAUGACCCAGCAAGGCAGUGGCAUUGCCCGGCUUGCCGUGGCGGUCCUGGUGCCAUUGACUGGUAUCGAGGCCUUCAGCCAUUAGUGACACAUGCGAAAACUAAAGGAUCAAAAAGGGUGAAACUCCAUCGUGAACUUGCUGAGCUCUUGGAUGAGGAAUUGCGUAGAAGGGGUACUUCAGUUAUCCCUGCAGGUGAAGCUUUUGGGAAAUGGAGGGGUUUAAAAGAUGAAGAAAAAGAUCAUGAAAUAGUCUGGCCUCCUAUGGUAAUCAUAAUGAAUACGAGGCUUCAACAAGAUGAUAAUGAUAAGGUACCCCGAGAACUUGUACUAUUUCUGUUUUCCAGUUAUAAUUCAAAGGAAUUUAAUUAAAUCUUUGUAAUUACUGAGGAGCUAUUUAUUGCGCUGUGUACUUCAGUGGAUUGGUAUGGGAAACCAAGAGCUGCUUGACUAUUUCAGCUCAUAUGCUGCCGUGAAGGCUCGCCAUUCAUAUGGUCCGCAGGGGCAUCGUGGGAUGAGCCUUCUGAUUUUUGAGAGCACAGCAAGAGGUUAUUUAGAAGCUGAGCGUCUGCAUAAGCAUUUUGCUGAGCAAGGAACGGAUAGAGAGGCUUGGGAACACCGUCGGGUCUUAUUUUAUCCAGGUGGGACGCGCCAACUCUAUGGUUACAUGGCAAACAAGGAAGAUCUGGACAUCUUCAACCAACAUUCUCAAGGUUCUCUCCUACUGAAGACAAUGGUUAUUUGCAUGCAGGGAUAAACUGCGAGAUAACUUUAUUGCACGAAAAGUUUCUUUAUUAUUUUCUGCCGAUUCUUAUGCAUUUAAUUCACUUGUGUGUAAAUGUUAUGUUGAUUAGGAAAAUCUAAGCUCAAGUUUGAGAUGAGAUCUUAUCAAGAGAUGGUUGUUAAUCAAAUCAGGCAAAUAAGCGAGGCCAACCAGGAGCUUAUUUUUUACAAGAACAAGUUCGCUAUACAGCAAAGGCUCAAAACUGCCCUUGAAGAGUCUUUUGGUAUUGUGAGCGAAAAGCUCCGGAAGACAAUGGAGGAGAACAGGAUUGUGAGACAGAGAACCAAAAUGCAGCACGAACAGAACAAGGAAGAGUAAUUGUUUUAGUUUCUGAUAAUUUACAUCCAAAUGCAGAUGCAAGCUAGUGGCUUUCUUCACAGGUUUGUUGCUAGACGUAUGGUUGUGGCGUACUAAUUACUAAUUUAUACCAUAGAACAUAACUUCAUUUUAGUAAGUUACUGGUUAAUCAUGUCUUUGCAAUCAUAUUUAUCUUAACUAGCCAGGGAUGAAUAUGAAAACUUUGCGAAUAUCUUUAUAUGUUUGCUAUGCUUAUACAUCUGUGAUCUUAUUUUUGGAUAUGAACAUGAAUAUGAAUAUGAAAACUUUGCGAGUAUCUUUAGAUGGUGGAGAUGAAUAUGAAAAUUUUGCAUCUUCAAGGAAAGUUCCGGGUAGCUUUUCAUUUUUAUUUAGUAGGACCAAGCAGUUUAGUAUGGCCUUAGAACUUUGAGAUGCUUUAACUGGAAAAAACAUCCAUGUCCAAACCAUCUCUUUCAGAGCAUGUUAGUGUAUUCCGUUGAACUUUUCCAUGUACUUGAUAAAUUACAUUCUAGUUUCUGUUUGAUGUUAACUGUUUUGUAUAUUGCUCUUCGCAGAUGGAUUUCCAAGAACAAUUCUUCAAGGAACAAAUCAAAUUUAUUCAUGAAGCAAGGGAUGAGAAGGAGGAGAAGUUUGAGAAGCUGCAGCAGCAACAGCGUGAGAAGUUUGUCAAGCAAUCUACUAAUACUUCAAAUACAGAGGAAUACAGGCGUAGGUAUGUAAUUUUGAUGCUAAUGUGAAUCUCCAUGUGUAAUCGGAUCGAAACAUGCUAAAAUGCUGCUACACCUCCUUUUAUUUGUUUAUUAAUUUGUCUACAUCAAUCAUGAGAUACCAUUUUUCUUUCUCUUUUCAUUUGUAGGGCGGAUGAAAUUGCAAAAUUCAUAAAGCUCCAGGACGAAGAGAUGGAAGCUUUUGUGUCUGAGAGGGACAAGCUGAUUACCGUACACGAAGAGAAGAUGGCUGCAAUGAGACAGAGGCAUUGGCAGGCAGAAGUUGAGCUCGAAAAGGAGUUUGAUACGGAAUUGAGCCGUCUCAUGGAGAAGUAUACUCCUACUCUGCCUGGAAUGGACAAAUAAGUUUUCUACAUAAAUUAAAUUUGAUUAAAAUAUGGGCGAGACUUCUGAGUUUGAUUCAAUCGCAAAUAAAACUUAAUUUUAUAAUAAUAUAAUACUAAAAUAUAAACAUUAAAAAUAUGUUUUGUCUAUUUAGAAUUUUAAUAAAAUCAUCUUAAAUAAUUACAUAUUAAAUUAAAAAUAGUAUAAGUCUUUUGUGAAAAAAUAUAUGGACUAGCUUCGAAUGAUUUUAGAUUAGUCUUUUUUUUUUUUUUUACAUAUUUUUAUGUUUGGAGUGAGUAGUUGUUUUUCUCAACAGUAUUGAUUUCAAGAUUAAAUUUACGUUUUCUCUUUGAAAGUACAAUGCGUUUUACCAUUAUACUUAAUAUUUGUUGGUAGAUUAGUAUUUAUAGAUAUGAAGUGUACUAAUACCAUAUAUAAAAUUGAGUCGAAUCUAACCAAACUUGAUCAUGAGCACUUUUUGGAUGUAGAGAUGGCAAUGGAAUGGGAUAGGAGUAGAUGUAACUAAAUUUACCAUUGCUUCAUAGUUGGUGUGCUUUGUUCCACCAACUGCACCGUUUCACUAUAAAUAUUUAAUUUUGAAAAUCAUUAUCACUUUUUGUAUGUUAGAUGUAUCCAUCUUCAUCUCACUCCGUUUAGAUUUAGUUUUUAUUAUUUUAAUAUUUUCAAUUUUUUUGAUAAAAAAUAAAAUAUUUAAAUUUAAAACAUAUAAAUUUUUUAUAACAUAUUAUUUACAAUUUUACCUUUUUAAUACAUAUAUAAAAAGAUAAAAUAAUCCUUUAGCGAGGUAAGACAAUCAAUUAUCAUAAUUAUUUUAUAUCUAUUAUCAAAAAAAAUUUUUACUGUGCCUUUUCCCGUAUUCUCUUUUUAAAAGAAAAAAAAAUCACUUCUUUUAGAGCGGGCGAAUUCAAAAUCAAUUUACUAUCUUUAUUUAAUUAUUAUGUAUAUAAUUAAGGUAAGUAUAUUAGGUUAAUUAUAAACAUGGUAAAAAAAUAUACUACCGAAAAAAAAAUAAAUGGCAAAAAUGAUAUAAGCGUGAUUCAAGGAUAUGUUGUUCGCCUUGUUUUUUAGACUGAAUCGAAUGGCACUGCAUUUAGCACUAUAAUUAUAAUAACAAAAUAAAAAGUAGCACUAAAAGAUUGGCGCUAAUAUCACUGCAAAAAAAAAAAAUAUAAGGUGCAAAACCAGUCAUGGAGAUGGAGCCAAAGAAAGUUAUAAAAAUUACAAUAAUAAAAUAACGCAAUUCCCAUUAUGCAGUUUCCCGUAAAAAUCAAUAUUCAAUACACAGCAAAUUACUGAAAUCUCCAUAGCUACAGAAGAGAAAGAGAGUAGAGCCCAGCUUCAAAAUCACUCCAUUUGUAUGAUAGGAAUUUUUUAAGUACAACAAAAGCGAACCCUACUAAUUAUAUUCCUUUUUUGUGUUUUGAUUUUCUAAUUUAAGGGAAAAGAAAAAGAAGGAAACCCGUGCUUGUGAGAAUCAGAUUCAUUUACCUACCCUCCCUCUUGUUUUCUCCCCUUCUCUUUUUCCCCCUCUCUUUUCCAUUUUAAGGGUUCUAUUUUUUAUUUUUAUUUUUUUGCAUUUGUUUCUCGUUUCUAUCGCUUCUUCUCUUUGGGUUCUACGAAAAAUUUGAUUUUCUGAAAAAAAGUUGGAAUUUUUAUGUGCCUGUUUGCUAAAAGUCGAACCUUUACUUCACAGUUAUUUUAUCUUAGAACAAUGAAAAAACGUAUUCAAUAACCCUGGAAAGGAAGACUAUUUUUUUCAAAUAAUAAUUCUCUUAUUUUUUUUAUCCCAAUAAUGAGCAAUAAAGGAAUGGCGUUGUUUGAUGAUAAGAGAGAUAUGUUUUUCUCUAUAUGUGAUUUGGGUUCUCAAUGGAGUCUCGAGCCAAAUACUUCUUAUCCAGGUGGCUUAUUUGCUAGCGUUGGUCAAAUGGGAAUGGGAUUUGGCGCUUCACCCAACUCCCCAAAUCCGCGUAACAAGGACGGAACCAAACCUCCAUUUUCUGAUUUGUUUGUCAAGUAUUUACCGAUUCGGGUUAUAGAAUUACCGGAAGGUGAAGCGGCGUCGACUAAGAAGAAAAAGAAACUAGAGUUGAAACUGAAAAUCAAGAUUCCUAAUCCUUCAUUAAGGAGGUUAAUAAGCGGUGGCAUAGCUGGGGCGAUUUCAAGGACUUGUGUUGCGCCAUUGGAAACAAUAAGGACCCAUUUGAUGGUUGGGAGUAGUGGGAAUUCCACAACUGAGGUGUUUCAUAAUAUAUUGCAGAAUGAUGGGUGGAAAGGGUUGUUUAGGGGUAACCUUAUUAAUGUGAUUCGAGUUGCACCUAGCAAGGCGAUAGAGGUAAUAACUCCCUUGAAUUACAAAUGGUAUUUUUAUGAAUAUUAUCCAGUUUGUUUAUCAUUUUUGUGGUAUUGAAUAUUGCAAUGUUGGUUAAUCACUUUGCUUGGUUUUUGAGCUUUGUGAUUUUGUAUAUGCAGUAUAAAGUAUAUUGGUUCGAUAGGUAUUCUUGAAUGUGAAUGAUUCGGAUUUAACUAAAUGCGAGCCUUUCUCAUGUCUGUUAAUGUGUCUAACUGCAUUUCUUAUUUUUAUCUACUGUGGUUGUAAACUGAGUGCUGCGGUCGCUACUUUCAUAUGUUUGUUGUAUUGGUUUAUAUUUUCAUUUUAACUGUUAGGCUGUCUGUUCAAGCAAAAGGGUAGAUUGUCACCUUAACUAUAGAUUAAAGUGGCUGUUUUCUGAUUGGUUGGAUAAGGAAACAAAGCUUAAUUUACAUUGGAAAAUUGUGGCAACCUCUGGAAGUAACUUUGAUGUUUCAUUUUCUUACUGCUCUGUUUUUUGGACAUGUCAUCAAUAUGGAUGUUAAGGCAGCAUAACAUAAAAGAAGAAUAAGAACUCUCAUCAUAAUGACAAUUUUGUGUAUAUACUGUUGUACCCUUCUGCUCCAUUCAAAGCCAAUUAAUUCUCACUGAAUGAUGUUUCCAUGUCUUAGUGAUGUUAUCUUCUUGAUCUUCUCAUUCUUGUCCUCACAAGAUUGAGUAUAUAUUACAUGUUUUGAUAAACAUCUACUUGCUGUCAAGUGUCAACUGUUUCUAUCUUGUUAAAUAUCAUCAACUGAAUGUGUAAUUGACUAAGGGUAGUCUUCUUUUAUGGUUCUUAUCAUCCUAAAAGAUGAACAAACUAUACAAGGAGAUGUGUGGAACCCAGGGAAGAAGACAAAGAGGAGUUGGCAGUGGCCUCGCCUCCCACCCCCACCCCCCCCCCCAAAAAAAAAACCACAAAAAAAAUUAGAUUUGUCAUUUAGUCCCUUAAAUUUUAUGAAAUUACAUAUUAGUAUAAUGGUAAAAUUGCACAUUGCCUCCUCCUAACAUAUUAGUAUAAUGGUUUCGUCCCUGGCAGAACCAUUGAAGAUGUAAUAUUUAUCAUGUAGGUUAAUAGUGUUGGCAUCAAUCUUCCAUUGUUCAAUACUCCUCCUAACAUGAUUCAUAACAUGGUUCAAUAGUCAUGAUGGCAUCGUUCUUCAUUUAUCACUUGUUAGUGAACAUUGCCAUCAUGAGUUUUAUGCCUUUUUUGUAGAUUACUUCUGCUACUUUGUCAUUGUUGGUUAUGCUUUACAGUUUAAUUCCUUAACUCAUUUUUCUAGUAGAACCCACGAAUGUUUUAAGCAAGCUUUUCUAAGGGUUAAUCUAUGCUUGCAUUUUUCUUCUUAUUACUAGCCACAGGGGUGUUUCUUGUUGGCUUGUUGCAAUAAUAGUUUUGCAAGCUUUGUCCUUGUAUGCAUCACAUGAACUGAUGUCAUACAGAACUAACGGAAGGCCUCAGACAAUGAACAUGAUUUGGCUAUUGCUAAUGAUUUUUUCUGCAGCAAAAUGAUAGCAAAACAGCUUAGCUGCAUCUUUCUGCAUAUUAUGCUUCUAUGCUGUAUUCAUCUUGAAACAUAGUUGUCUUUUUUAGUCAAAUGAGAGUUGCAAUUAUUCCUGACAUAUUCAUAUGCUAAUUUCCCAUGUACUGCAGCUAUUUGCUUUCGAUACCGUGAAUAAGACUUUGUCACCCAAACCUGGGGAAGUAUCAAAGAUUCCAAUUCCUCCCUCGUUGGUUGCAGGGGCUUGUGCUGGAGUCAGCUCAACUUUGGUGACCUAUCCUCUCGAGUUAGUUAAGACUCGACUAACUAUUGAGGUAAACACAGUCUAAAAUUUGCAAUUCACAUUUUAGAAGUUUUUGUUUUCACUUAAAUCCGGGACCUGUGUUUACUCGCAGAAGAAUAUGUAUGAUGGUAUACUCGAUGCUUUCUUGAAAAUACUGCAAAGGGAGGGCCCUGCUGAACUUUAUAGAGGUCUUGCUCCUAGUCUCAUUGGAGUUAUUCCAUAUGCUGCCACUAAUUAUUUUGCAUAUGAUACUCUACGGAAGGUUUACCGCAAAAUUUUUAAAGAGGAAAAAAUUGGGAACAUUGAAACUCUUUUAAUCGGAUCAUUAGCUGGUGCUAUUUCAAGUAGUGCAACAUUCCCGCUCGAGGUGGCACGUAAGCACAUGCAGGUUGGAGCUCUGCAUGGAAGACAGGUCUACAAGAAUGUGAUACAUGCACUCUCAAGCAUUCUUGAACAAGAAGGGAUUCAAGGUCUAUAUAAAGGUUUGGGUCCUAGUUGCAUGAAGUUAGUACCUGCUGCUGGGAUAUCUUUCAUGUGCUAUGAAGCAUGCAAGAGGAUACUGGUUGACAAAGAUGAAGAUGAAGCAUAGAGUCUCUGGUUAAAAGGAAUAAAAAACUCGUCUUUUUGGAAUUGAAGAAUGAGAUGGCAUACAUUUUAGGUUCAUCUUUUUAUUUUUUAUUUUUAAACAAUUUUCUCCUGUUAAAUUAUUUAUUUUUUUGUUGAGGAAUCAGUUUCAGCUAGCGGCAUUUGCAAGAUAAGAAAUGACGAUGAAAGUAAAAUUAGUUGGCAUACUGCUUUCUUUGAAGAAUGGAGUAGACUUGUUGAGCAAUGUUUUGUUUUGGUAACUUGUUUAAGUGGGAUUUUACUCUUUUUGAUCCUUUUUCUUUUUGUGCAAGUCAUUUGACAUGUUAUCGAGUGUAUAAAAAGUGUUAUUCUUUUAACUUUUUACAGUAUUUAGAAGUAUCUUGAAAGCAAUGGAAAAACCAAAAGCUUAACCCAGUUCAUAUAGGGCAUAGAAGAAAGGAAUUAGCAACAAAUUUGAAUAAUAUUGAAUAACAAAGAACCAUAGUAUUUUACAAAAAUUCCUAAAAUCUCAUCAUCACAAUGACUAAGCUUCACUCACAAGCAAGCAAGAAAAUAGCUAUUAAAAGAUACUCACAAUCAAGUAACACAGCUAAAAUUGAGGAAACAUCUUAUUCUUAACUUAUAGCUUUACUCAUCAUCUAAGGCUUCCUCAGCAGCAGCUGCCAUCAACUCAUCAAACUUCUCUGACUUCCCCAGCAGUAUUUCAAUCUACAAUAUAAGAAAUUGCUUGCUUUCAGCCUCUUAUAUUAAGAUAAGUUCAACCAUUUCAUGAGAAUUAAUAUAAGAGAUCUAAAUGAUUAAAAAUGGAUGAAAGUAAUACAGAUGACUUUUACUAUAUAUUAACACCAUUCAAUAGCUGUGGGGAAAAAAAUGACAAAAUAAUGAAUUGAUGUUUCAUCCCAUUUUCUAACCUACCACUUUACAGAAGUGUUAUGUAUUUAGUGUGAGCCAUGGGAUAAACUUAACUUAGAAGUAAAUUAUUAUAUAUGUAUUUGCAACUUACUUUUGCUUUUUGUACUGGUCGUCCCCCUGAUUCCUCUCUCAUGUCAAUGGUAGAAGUCAUGAUUUCUGCCAGAUAAUGCAAACAUAUAUAAUAUAUAUAUAUAUAUCAUGAUACUAGUUUUGAGUUCUCAACAUGAGAUGAAAGCUAAAAGAAAUCUUGUUAAGGUAAGAAUCUUACUUUUCUCAACAGCCAGCCCGUUGUUCUUCAAUAUCUCAGCAAUGGUAACAACAGUAGCAAUAGCUGUCAGCAGCAUUUAAACCAAGUUGUAAAGAAAGACAAGAAAAAGCAAAGAAUCGGUACAUGUUUUUCCCAACAUUCUAAACUCACAGUACUAAUCUGGCAUUGCAACAGUAGCAUAAAUUACAUGCCAUAAAUGACGUACACAUAGCAUGUACGUAUGUAUGUCAAGGUAAUGUGUUGUAUUUCAACCUAUGUUUUAUAAAACAAAACGUUCACUUUGUUCCUUGUAAGGAAGCUAUCAAUGUAAAUGACAUAUUCAAAUCCCUCAAAAUCUAAACAAAAAACAAGGUGAAAUAGAAUGGAAGUGUGAAGAAAAGCAAAAAAAGAAUACCCAUUCCAAGAGCAGAGAGUUCCACCUCAUUGUAUUGCUGCAUAUACCUCUGCCAAAAAGGAGCAAAAUAAUCGUUUAAGCAACCAAUAAGAAUCUGUUUUGUUCAUUUUUUUUAUUUUUGUUCUUAUAAUUCCCAUUUGGUUAAAUCAUGAUCAUAAACAUCCAGCAAAUCAAACAGAACGCCACAAAAAAAUCCGAAUAGGAAAUCAAAUAAAAACCCUAACUUAUAAUAUUAAAGCUAUUAUUAUUCAUUAACGACUAAAAACAGAAGACUGCUACAACUUUCAGAGCACGUCAAAAUGAUCACUGAGAGAAAAAUUGAGAAGCAAUAAAAAAAAGGUGAAGGAACCUUGGCGAGGUUAACGUAGAAGAAAAGGGGUUUCUGGGUAUUGGAGACUUGGAUACGAUUCUUCUUGCUGUUGGAGGCAGAGGAAUCCACUCCCUCAGUAGUCCCCACCAUUUUUGUUGUUCAGAAAGAGAACAAAAACCCUAAACUGUUGAUCACCACGAAACACAAGGGGAGGGGGGAGAUGGGAGAUUUGAUCUUUCAGGGCUCAAAAACCCUUGAAUUCAACCCCAUCUCACCACUACCCCUCCUCUUUUAUCGGGGUUUUCCAUGGUUUUCGAUAGAAUCGAUGAUUUGGUUUGGUUUCAAACAAAAUGAUACGUAUCAGUAUCAUAUUACUUUUAUUUUAUUUUAUCAUCUUUUUUUAAUUAAAUUGUUUUUACUUUACAAGUAACAUUAAAUAAUAGAAUUUUAUAUUGUAUUAUAUUAUUUAUAUUUACAUAUAAUAUAAAUUUGCAUCUAUGUAUAUAUUUAUAUUUGAACCAAAAAUAUAUAUUUAUAUAAAAUUUUAACUGAAUUUUGUAUCCUGAUUGAGUUUUAUAUCAACUCAAUUAGUAAAAUACUUAAAAGAAAAAUAAAAAAUUUAAAAAAUUAUUUUUUAUACAAUUUUUAUAAAUUAUUAUUAGAAAAUUAAUUUUAUUUUAUAAUUUUUAUAUAAUAUUUUUUAUAAAUAAAUUAAAUCACCUCUUAAAAGAAUCAACCCUGCAAAAAAAAAAAAGCCAGUUUUUUAUUAAUGUUAAAAAUAAAUCUAUUUUCAUUUUUUUUUACUAAAGUAAGUGCGGCUAUAAAUUAUUAUCUGAGUACUUAAAAAAUACAUGACUGAGUUGAUAACUUAAUUUACACCAGAAAGCCUCACAAACAAAAUGUUAUGAUUAAACAUUUACAUUCUUGUUUAAAAAGAAAAGAAAAAACCGAAUUAUUACUGUGUUAUCACUUCAAACACAAUUGUGACAUUAAAAUAUAAUAAAAUACGCGUAUCUUUAUUAGUAAUCCACCCGCGGAAAGGUUUUUAGAUCAUCCAAGGCAAAUUAGGUUGGCACAUUGUCUUUUUUAAAAAAUGCAUGCAAUGAUCAAACAUAAAAUGAGAAUCAGAGACUAGAUUUCACAACAUCAUUAAGAAAUAUCUUUGGAAAUUGGAACCCAAACUUAUUCCAAUCUGAUAUGAAUGAUCAACUAAAACAAAAUAAAAUAUGUACUCAAAAAAGAACAGUAACAAGUCCCUUUCAUGACAUUGGAUGAAUAAAUAUCUCUACAUAAUAAUGAAAAAAAUAUACUCAUAAAAUUACACAACACCAACAUCAAACUUCAUCAGCAAAACCACGUAGAAGAAUAGAAGUGAACAAAAAGAUAAUAGGGCGGCUGGUCUUAGGUCCCCAUAAACUUAUAUCAUGCCGCAGGAGUAGAAAUAAUCUUUUUGCAGAUAAUAGGGCGACGUCUCUUUUUCCUUUGGUUAUAUACACAAUAGCCAACUUGAAGGAGAGAGGGUUUACUGGAAUAAAAUAAUCCAGAAACGAAACUAACAGUUGAUGCCACAUUGACCAUUAGCAGCAGCUUUUGUAGCUUCUGAGGUGAAGGGGUCGAUACGCACCCACAGCAAUGAGAAGAUGGAAGCAAGAAGUAUAGACCACACGAUGACAAUUGUUGGGGUACGAUUUUGGCGACCCACCAAACCUUUCAAGAAAGGAUACAAAUGAGCAAUCACCCAGAUGGCAAAGAAAAGCUUGCCAAAAAG
rnacentral:lncRNA from 1 species